UCGAUUUCGAUACCGCCGAACCCAUCGCCAAUCUCCGAGGAACCUCCGCUCGCCGAACAGAGCAACGGCCGUCCGGAUGGAUCUCCGGGGAACCUCCGAUUUCGAUUCAAUGAACGGUCGAGAAUUUUUUGGGAAGAUGGACGGCCGGAUCUGAGGUCCGCACCAGUGACCGUUCCUACUACCGGUCGUUCCAAAUGUCUUCCCUAUAUAUUGGAAUUGUUUUUUCUCAAAGUUUACCAUAGUAUAUGAAUACAGAGUCAACUUUUAGAUAGUGCUUCGCAAACAACUAUAGUAUAUGAAUACUGAGUUAUAUUGUAAGCACAAGUUAUAUUAUAGAGUAAAUGACCAGAUAACUGGAUAUAUAUAUUUGAUAAGCAAGUUAUAGAGUAACUAGAUAUAUAUUUUUUUUUUUGAAGCAAAACUGGAUAUAUAUUUGAUAAGUAAAUGCUUGAACAAAUAUUUGAAUAAAGAUUUAAGGCAAUGAAUAUAACCUCAGAUAGUUGACCAGAUAACUGGAUGAGGGAUCUGCGUAAAGUAGUCAACCUCUGUAUUUGACCAGAUAACUGGAAGAGGGAUCCUUUUCAAUUAAGUGUUGUUUAGUUGUUUUUAGAUGAAAGAUAAAAACUAAAGUUAACAAAGAACAACACAAGAGAAUUUAUACUGGUUCACCCAAACAAGGGCUAAUCCAGUCCCGACCAACUGUCGGAAUUCACUAGCCUAAAGGUUAUGGCAAAACCUUAGAGUAUCAAGGAAACUCUUAAAAACCUCUUUAAGCUUUAAGGCUAAUUUCGCUUAAGAACCAAUCUUUUACGGCUAGACUCACACCUUAGAGUAUUAUAGAACUCUUAAAAACCUCUAAUUUUUACGGGUAAGUUAGUACCUUAGAGUAUCAAAGAACUUUUAAAAACCUUUCUAAGCUUUAAGACUAACUUCGCUUAGAAAUCAGUCUUUUACGGGUAGACUCGCACCUUAGAGUAUUAAGGGAACUUUUAAGAACCUAAAAAUCUUUCAAGGUAGAUUCGACCUAAGAGUUUUCCCGGAAACUCUAUAAAACCAAACUAAAGCUUUAUGGUUGAGCUCAAAAACCUUCUCUCACACUUUAGUGAUCUUGAGACAAACCUCUCAACCAAAGUGAACACACACAAGAGGUGAUUAGAGGAGUGGAAUAUUAAAGCAAACAACACUUCUUACUUGUAGAGAUGAACAAGAAGAUUAGAAGAAGAAGUUGGAGACCUUUUGAAGCUUUGGAAAGCUAGGACACUUGAGCACUUUAAUUUGGAAGCUUGGAGGCAAAAACGUGUGAUCUCAAAUGUGAAGUGAAAAACUCUUUGAUUGUUUGUAGUGUGGUGAGUGAAAAUAAGGGGAAUACCCUUCUAUUUAUAGCCUUGGUCAUUCAAUGUCCACCAUUGGAUCUUCAAUGGAUGGUUCCUUGAUUUCUCACAUAAAUCCAAGUUUUGUCUUUGAUCUUAUCUUGAAUAGUGUUUUCUUAAAUAGUAUUUGUUGGAGAAUCUUAUCUUUGGAAAAAUUCAAAUGUGAAUAGUAUUUUGUCCCAUUGGAAUAUUAUACCUUGAAUAAAGAGUCAAAUAAUAAUAAUAAUAAUAUUCAAGGUAAAGAUGCAAUUAUUUCAAUUUGACUUUUAACUUUGAAUUAAACGUUUGACUCAAAUGAUUAAUUUAUUAAUUGGAGUUAGGUUUAAUAUCGAUUGACUUAUUUAACCCUUAUAAAUUAAUAGUGUAAUUAGAUUUUAAAUUGACAUGAUUAAAAUAUAAUCAUAUGUCGACAAUUUUCAUUCUACAUUCUCCCCCUAUGUCGAUGGCAUAUAUGUUUUAAUUCAUGUCUAGUUAAUAUUCUAUUUUACCCUUAUGAGCAUGCUCCCCCUGAAUUAUUGACCCAUAAUAUUCAAUUUAAAGGCAGUGGAUCAUGCAUGAUAUUUCCCCCUUAAAAUAAUAAGGUAUCGACAAAGUUAAAAUAGAUACAUGUGAAGUAUCUCCCUCUUAAUGAUAUGACAUAUCUAAUUUGUGGAGCAAAUAAAACUUCAUACCUUAUUGAGCUUUGAUCACAAAUUCGAUUUGUGUGGUUGACCAAAUGUGACUUCUUGCUUAUAAAAAGUGUUAGUCAAUCAUAUAGUAGAAAUAACAUGUAGUUUAUGUUCAUUGAUAAAAUAUUGGAUUGGAGCCAAUUUUGAUAUAGAUUAUAAGGCAAGUAUAAUAUGAUAAUUUAAAUUGUCUUGUGUUAAGAUCAUGCAAUGACCAUGUGUAUUAUGGAUAAAUUGAUCUUAACAUUGUAUGGAUUAAAGAUUUUAUAAUGUUAUAAUCCAUAAGAUAUAUUAGUCAAUGAUAUAUAUGUAUGUAUAAAUCAAUAUUCACUAACUACUAUAAGAAGAAUUGAGCACUUAAAGUUUUAAAAUCUAUGUCUUAGUGACAAAUAUAUAAUCAUGUAAAUAUUCACUAAGUUUUAAAAGAUUUUAAAAUUUUCAUUUCAACCCUUAAAGUCUUAGUAGUAAAAUUUCACUUAAAAAUUUUCAUUUAAGCCUUUUGAAGUUAUGAUAAAUACUUAGAUUAAUACAUAAAAAAAUUCAUUUUAAACCUUGGAAGUAUUAAAUAUUUUUAAACAAUUUUCGAUAGAAAACUUCAUGUAAAUAUUAAUUCUAAGUCCCUCAAGUUUUACAUAAAUUUAUAUUCACUGUAAAGAUAUCAUCUUAACCCUUAAGUUUCAGUGAAUUUUUUUAAACUUAAAAAACUUCAAAAAUAAUUUAUGUUAAUCCCUUGAAGUUUUUAUGCAGUCUUCUAAUAUUUUUCAUCUUAAUAGUUCAAGAUUUUCAAGAUACUUUGCAUGUAUUGUAAUGAAUAUAUAAGUAUCCUUUUAAUCUCUGAAAGAUCUUAAAUAGUUGAAGAUAUGGAGUUAAUCAUAUCUCUUUUAUUUAAUAGUUGGAUCUUUGAUGAUUCUUAAUGAUAAAUUAUUUUAUUUGAGAAUCAUAUUUACUCUUAAGUCUUUAAUACUUAGUGAAAAUUGAUUUUUUAUUAAAGUUUUUCACUAAAAAUAAAGCAGGCAUAGGUCUAUGGUUAGACCUUAAACAAAACAUACUUAAACAAAGUAGAAACAUCUAUCAAACAGAUGUUAGAGUGGUGUUUGAACAUCAUCGAUCAAACCAAAAUGAACAUCUAACUUAGAUGGUAUCGAGUAGGCAUAGCAAGGUAACCAAAAUACAUGAUUACACAACACUAUGGUUAAUCAGUGAUGGUGUUAGCUUCUUCAGUGGAAGCUUUCAAUAGAUCGAUUUGAUGUUGCAUGUCGGCGAUCAAAAUUCCUUGGUUUUUAAUACUUGACUCCAACAAUUUAAUCCUUGAUUUUGCCUCAUCGAUCUCCUUAAGCAAGUGAGUAGUUGUCUCAUCUUUGGUUGUGGAUUGACUCGCCUGCUUCUUCCCUUUGUCUGUUAUAAGAUCCAUCAACUUUUUCCAGUCUGGAUCAUAAGAAUUCAUUUUGAAGACGGAAGAGAUAGGAAUGGGUGAGAAGGGAAGGUUUUGGUUUGAGAGUGAAUAACCUUGUAUUUAUAGAUGAAGCUUUCAAUCUUUUUAGGUUAACACUUCUACUUUAGUUUCCAAGAAUUUCUUGGUUUAACUAGACCAUGAGAAAUCGUUUGAUCAUCUUAUCUUGUAGUCUCUUUCUCAAGAGAAUUCUUCGAUUUCCCAUAUACUGACAUAACUUAUUAGGGUUAACAAGUAAUGAUAUUUUGAAACUAUUAUCUAAGCCAUGUCUAACUCUGGAAGAUUAGCAGCUUUAGGGUUGGUUUUUCAAUAAACCAUAAACCCUACUUGAUGAAUCUGGUUAGUUAGAUUCAUCCAGAUGUUUUAAUUUAAAUUUCUUAGACAGAAAUUUAACUUUUUAGAUGUCUACCAGAUCUGAAUUUGGAUAUGUUUCAGAUUUUCUAUCCAGAUUAAAUAGUUUAAAUCAUACCUUUUGUAGUGAUCGACGCAUUUCUUGCACUAUUCACGACAAUCCAUGCUCCUAGCCUCUGCAGUCGGCGAUUCUGCUGGUAAAGAUUGAUGUAUUCGUGUAGUGCAGGUGCAAGAUAGUCUUCUGCCAGCAAUCCUUGCAAGGUGUUUUCAUCGUUGUGCAAGUCACACAUCGGGCAUGGUGUUUGUUGGGUGUCGUGAGUGACUGAUUGAAUUGGUUGCGACAGGUUUGCUGGAUGAAGUUGCAGCAUCGAGGUUGCAGAAUGUACAUACAGAGAUUUUCAAUGCCAUAUGGUAGGGUUUGGUUUACCAAUACCAUGUGAUGUUGUUAAUUUUGCUCAAAGUAGGAUAUAACAUCAUGUAGUAUGUGUGCAACAUAGGAUUAAUCUUAUAAUUUUCUCAAUUAUGUAUGUGUGAUGACAUGGAAUAUGCAUUGAUUCAUUUAUUUAUAGAUUCAUAUAUGAUUGCAUGUCUACGAUUCAUAGAUAAGUAUUAACAUGCAUUUAUGAUAAGUCAUAGUAUCAUGCUAUACUCAAAACAUGUGUUUUAUAUCUUUAAAGACCAUAUACGUGUACAUGCAUAAUAUUGUAAUAUUUACUUUACCAGGCAUGCAUUUAUCAGAUAGUCAUUUAAAUCAUGUAGUUUCUAGUAGCAUGGUGGAUAUGUAGACAUGUAUUAACGUGAUUCCAUUGAUAUAUAUGAUAGUCAUACAUUCAAGUUAAGCUCUUCAUUUUAUCAUGCAUGCAUAUGAUGAAUUAUAUUAGCAUGUAUAUACUUAGUCAUGUAAAUCUUAGAUUUUAAUUUGUAAAUUCAUGCAUACGUAUUUUCAUUUUAAUGUGAUCUUAAUUUGAGUUAUGAUCAAGGUUAUAAGUAUUAAGAUAUUCAAGUGAAGAAUAUUAAGACUAAAGCUUGAGAUGUAUUGACUUAAAACCAAGUAAAUAUUUAUCAAAUUUCACUAAGCUCACAUAUAUCCAUAGAUCUUCUGAUUUUCGAAUGAACUUCUUGAUCUAAGGGUUUAGUAAAGAUGUCAGCCAUUUGAUCUUCAUUAGAAAUAUAUUCUAGGCAGAUAUUUUUCUUUUCUACAUGAUCUCUAAGGAAAUGAUGUCUGACAUCAAUGUGUUUAGAUCUUGAAUGUAACACAAAGUUUUUUGAUAAAAAAAUUGCACUCUUGUUAUCACAUUUAAGAGCUACUAUUUCUAAAGUUACAUCGUAGUCGGAUAAUGUUUGUUCUAUCCACAAAAUUUUAGCGCAUGCAUUAGAUGCUGCCAUAUAUUCUGCUUCAGUUGUGGAUAAAGCAAUAUUAUUUUGCUUUUUACAUGACCAUGCUACGAGUGAGCUUCCCAACAGAAAGCAUGUUCCACUAGUGCUUUUUCUGUCAGUCUUACAUCCACCAAAGUCAGCAUCACAAUAUGCUGUCAGUGUGAAUGAGUUGUCCUUAGGGUAGAAUAAUCUAAGUGUAAUUGUUCCUUUAAUAUACCUGAUUAUUCUUUUAACCGCUUUGAGAUGUGACUCUUUUGGGUCUGAUUGAAAUCUGACACAUAAACAGACUGCAAACAUGAUGUCUGGUCUGCUAGCUGUUAAGUAUAACAGUGAUCCAAUCAUCCCUCUAUAUUUCUUAAUGUUUACUGAUUGACAUUCAACAUGAUCAUGGAUUUUGUUACAAGCUUGCCGCUAGUAAAGGGACACACCGUCAUCAUAGUGGUCGUCGACCGGCUCAACAAGUAUUGCCACUUGGGAAGUUUACCAUCCAGCUAUUCAGCCACCACAGUGGCCGACUAUUUCAUCAAACAAAUAGUUCGACUACACGGAAUCCUGAAGACCAUCGUCUCGGAUAGAGACAAAAUUUUUCAAAAGCGGGACAACCUUAAAGAUGACAACAGCUUACCAUCCGAUGGUCAAUCGGAAAUAGUUAAUAAAAUAAUUGAACAAUACUUGCGGGCAACAAUCCAAGACAAUCAACGGGGUUGGAUCGAGUUGCUGUCAUGGGCGGAGCUUUGGUACAACACUACCUAUCAUCACAGUCUAGGAACCUCUCCAUUUCAAGCACUAUACGGGAGAGCUCCUCCGGCAAUUAUCAAUUAUAGAGCGAGGGAUUCCAAUGUAGAGGCGGUGGAUGUUCUAUUGAAACAACGGGACUAACUACUACGGGAACUACAAAUCCACUUAAAAGCAGUGCAAGAAAGAAUGAAGAAGUAUGCGGAUGUAAAGCGUCGACCAUUCGAGUUCAGUGAAGGAGAAUGGGUCUGGUUACGAUUACAGCCCUAUCGACAAAAUUCAGUCGAUCACCGGAUAUGCGUCAAGCUAGCAAAACGUUACUACAGACCCUUCAGAAUCGAAAGAAAAAUAAGCUCGGUAGCAUACAAGCUUAAACUGGCAACAAGUAGCAGCAUAUUUCCAGUUUUCCACAUCGCCCUAUUAAAGCCAUUCUGAGGAAAGAAUCCGAAAGAAACGACGAGUCCUCUGCCACCGCUGGCAACAGAGUCGCACCCAAUUAUUUGUCCCGCAAAAAUUCAGGCCUAUCGGAAGAUAAAGCACAAGGACAAAUCAACGACGCGGGUUUUAGUAGAGUGGGCGGGGCUGCUACCAGAGAACAAAUCGUGGGAAGAUAUUGAAGUAAUUAAAAGACUGGUAGUAGAUAGUAAUCUUGAGGACAAGUUCGAAAUGGAAGGAGGAAGGGAUGUAACAGUUGAACUACAAUUGGACUCAGUUACAGUCCGACUCAAGGAGGAUCUAGGACUGGUGAGUCAACCUGAGGAACGAGCUAAUGAACAGCCUAACAGAAUCAGGCCGGGAAAGAAGGACAGUAGUUUUGUAUACUAUUGAAUAAGUUGUUGUAAUCCUAGUUAGCUACUUUGUUGUUAACAUUGAAAGUCCAUAAAUAAGAUAGCAUAAACUCAAGGGAGUUAUGCAACCAAUUCAGUCCACUAAAACUACUCAUCUCCGGCUUCCAAUUCGGGAGAAUUCUGAUGACAGCGCAGUUCGACGGACUAACGUCGUAACAGAUGGUUCUACCUCUAUUGCAACGACAUCUAAUCCUUCUGUCAAUGACCAUUCUAUUACUUUAGUUAGAUCUCAUCCUCUUGCAAUUCAGAAUUCCCCUGAAUUUUGGGACUCAACAAUACGCAGUGCAGAAGAGGUUGAAGCUAGAAUUCGUAUAACCAAAAAACAUACCUACGAAGAUCUGUCAGCAGUUGCUAGAUGUAUUGAAUUUUCUCCAUGUAUUUUAACUCCACAACCUCUUUGUGUGACCUCAGCACCAUAUAAGGUAGAUGAGUUUUUCAUUCAAUAUAAAUUUAAUAUCAAUAAAUUAAUUAUCAUUAUCAUUAUCCUAAUAUAUCUAUUCUUUAAGGUUGCGGAACAGAGAAAAGGCAAGGAAAAUAUUAAACCAGAUACUAUUGAACCAUCGAAAGUAAAUGAAACUAAGCAUAUAAUGUUACGAAAAUAUUAUGUCAUUUUAGUUUCCUAAUGUCUUUUUUUAAAUUAUUGUUUAUUGAUUAUUGUUUUUUUUUUAAUUAUUAAUAGUUAUAGAUCAAAAAGGUUUGUCGUUGACUUCGAUACUACUAUCUCAUGCCUUGGUCAACAUGUUGUCGAUGUCAUUCAUCACAAAGUCUACGAUUCAAAUGUACGUAGAAGAACAUUUUUAUCUUAGUUUGGUAUUUUAAUUUCUUUACAAUGUUCCUGACAUCCAAUGUAUGAAGUUCGUAGAUUGUUACAAUACUAUAUUAGUCCAAAGGAUGAAAGCUAAAGGAUAUAAUACAUCAUCCUUGAUAAUUUUGAAAUCAGAUAUAUUUGAUGAUACUGAUAUACGUUGUUUGACUGGUGGUAAUCCUGAAGAUGCUGAACUUAUUAGACUCAAACGAUUUAAAAAUGCAGUAAUAUCGUCAAUGAAAUUUUCUAAAGAAUCACUCAAAUUUAUUUUCAUUCCAAUUCGAACCAAUGAUCAUUGACAUUUUCUGAUGUGGUAUAAAGAUGAGAACCUAUACAUUUAUUUCGAUUCUAAUCAUAUGGUUUUUGGGAAACAGAAUCUUGAAGCAUCUUUGCAAACGGUAUGUAAUUCAUUUGUUCGUUUAAUUUUUUUUUCAUCACUUUAUUUUUAUUAAUUGCAUAUUUUCUGAUUUAAUUACUAUAUUCAAGAAAUAAUGAAUAUCAAAGAACAACAAAGUUAUCAAUCAAUUCGUUCAAUCCCACAAGAGAAUGACGCUAGAUGUAAUGGAGGAUUAUACAUGACUUAAUGAAUAAGAUCUGUUGCAUAUGGUGUAAUGCUACAUGAAAAAGCUAACACAAAACAUCUUUUGGUUGAAGGUUUAUAUUCAUUAAAUUUGACCGAAAAACAAGUACCGAAGAUUAGAAAUGAAAUUUUUCAGACUUGCGCUUUAAUGAUGCACUAUGAACCUUGGUAAACGUUUACAUUAAAUUACAUCUUUUACAGACGUGUCCUUGUUGUAUCUAUUUACCGAAACAUUUAAUCGUUGAUUUUCUAAUUUCUAUUUAAGACUGGAAUCUUUUAAAUGUUAUCAGACAUCUUCAUUUCGGUUUAAUUUUGGGUUCAGUAGUCCUUUCUUGAUAAUGUAAACCAUUCUUAAUAAUGUAAUCCCGCAUUAUAUAGUUUAAUCACGUUAAUCUUGAAACAAUUAAUGUUAAAUAACAUCUAAAAAUUCAACUAUUUCAAAUAGUUAAUUAAUGCAGAGUUGAAAGUUCUUAAUAGAAUUGAAUUUAAUAAUAAAUUUCAAAUUUUAGCAAACAAAUUUUUGGUACUAGUACUACGAUGAUGUGCUAAGAACCUUGGUAAUCAUCUAUAUGUACGUUACAGUUUCUUGAGUUGUGUCAUUGUUAUCUGCAUUUACCACAACAUUUAAUCUUCGGUAUUAUAAUUUCUCUGUUAGAUUUGAAUCUUGAAUCUGUUUUUCCUGCCCUCCCAUGGUUUUUCCCGCUUCCUUUUGUUUUUGCCACUUUAGAAUUACCAAUAACAGUUAUCCAAUUAGAAUCUUUUUGGAACCUCGUUAUUGAACCAUAAUUCGGGUUCUCAAUUGUUUGACCGAAUUUUGUUUCUAGAUUCCCCACACCGUUUCUUAACUCUUUUUUUACCUCUUCCGUAGCCAUAUCAGAAAUUCGCGCAAUAUUCAGACAUCUUGUCACGAGUUGAUUUAUUUCUUUGCUUCUGUUCGACUGAUCUUGUUGUAUAUCACCUACAGAUAGAGUUCUUUUCCAUCUAUCAAGUAUCAUAUAGCUAGAAAGAUGAAGAGUCAUUAAUUAAAUGCAUAGCUAAUAUGGAUCUGCAUAGAACUCGGCUAUUUUCUUUGGCCGGUACUGCCUUGUUUGCAAGAUAUGCUUCGUGCACAUCCUCCAAGUGCAUAUAACUAUUUCGCCGCUACUGCCUUUUACUGCAUAAUUUAACUCUAUCUCCUAGGAAUGGCUAAAUGAACGAACCAGUACCGGCGAAAUAGCUAUAUGUAUAGAUCGAACCAGUGUAACUAUGUAUAACGAAGUAUACCAGUGAAUAGAAAGAAAUAUACUAAACGUACCAAGUACAAAACAAACAUAUAAAACUAGAAAAUGACACAAAAUAAACAAACCAAAUAUAGUAAAUAUAGUUCCAGUUUCUCUUCCGGUUAUCUUCGGAAGACUAACUAAGACUAACUAAAUAUAACUUAGAGUAACACACCGAAGACAGUAACUAAGACACUAACUAAGACUAACUGAAGCCGAAGAAAAACUGAAGACAACUAACAGUAACCUGAACAGAACUAAAGACAACUACUAGUUGAACAUUCACUAGGUUAACAGAAACAAUAUAAUACACAAGACUAACUAAAACUAACAAAAACAAAAAUAAAAACAGCAUAAGACUAACAUGCAAAGUACACAACCCAAAAGGAUGUACCGUCCCAACAGAAACACCACCCCAACGCUGGUAUGAAACCAUCAACUACGGAUCUCCCAGCUCCAAGUCUUCGAUCCAGUCGAAGUUCAGAGGAUCCACUGGAUCUGGAACAUUUAACAUGCUCGAGGCGGCGGUGUAUAGGAACGCAAUGAAGAGGUAACCACAUUGUUGACACAUGAUGACGUCGUUGUGCAAAGCCGGUGGAGCCUCCAGAACGUACUCGGGAACGGGCUCAGUUUGAGAAGGUGGUGGAGGCGAAGGUGGAACCACACGACCACUAGAUGUCCGACGACUGCCAGGUUGAGCGAGCGAUAGCCCUUCAUACUCCUCCGGUGUAGUAGGGUUCAGGCGACGCCUUGUUACUCGUGGCGUUUCGUACUCGUCAUCAUCAGAGGUGAGGUCGAUGACCUCUGUCUUCCGCAGGCGAUGCUGUUGUCGAAGAACAUCGUCGUUAGUCGACACUCCACCAGUAAAAAGUCUUCUCACCAUGGCUGACGAUGAUGCAAAAACUAUCUUCCUCCGCUACUGAUCGAUGAAUAUAGGAGAGGUAGAAUGAAUGGAUACCACCACCUGAACAGUUUGGUAUUUUAUACAAACCUAUUUUCCUACUUUUAAUAUCUACUUUUUCUGCAACUUUAAUACCCUCAGGUUUAAUUUAAUUUAAAUUUUAAAAAAAUAUACUUUCUUUUGCAUGCAGUGUUACUUCCUUCACUAUCUUGCAAUUGCACCACCCACAAGUAUUUUUUAUUGAUGUUUAUAAACCUGUUGCCUAAUACUGUAGUUAAAUUCGUGGAUAUACAUAUUGUAGUUAAAUCCUGAUCAUUCGAUCAAUUUUUAGAUGACUUAUCUUGUUAUUUUACCAUUUAAUCCGUGUAACAUGGUGUACUAUUUCUUAAAAUGUGUUGACAUGUGGCCUGUUUUUUUGUCUUGUAUUGUUUUUAAUGCCAUGUCAGACAGACAAUAUCGAUCUGAAUGGUUUUAAAAACCAACAAAUCGAACUAUCUAUUCUUCUCUUUAUAUUCUGACAUGCUGUCACGGUGUGAUUGACAUUCGAUGUCCAGGUCAUGACAUACGAAUGUGACAUGCUGUCACAGCUUACCUUUUGGUUGACGUGCGAUGGACAACACAGUUUACCUUUUGCGCCGACUUGCAUUUGGAAGACUUGCUUUUGAAGUCUCUACUGGAAAGCGGGAAGACAACACAAUUUACAGUUUGAAAUCUCUACUAGAAAGCGGGAAGACUGCUUUUGAAUUUGACGUUUUGAAUUCGGAAAUAUUUCAAAUUUAUAGAUUUGAUUAUUUUAAUUUUAAUAUUAAACGACAGUAACUAAGCAACCAUUUUAAUUUAAAAUACAGAUUAGACCAUUUUAAUUUAAAAUACAUCAUUAAAUUUACCAUUAUCAAAUUAAAACAUUUUUCAAUUUAAAUUAAUAAUUUAACGUAAAACCAUUAAUAAUUUACCAAAUUAAUUAAAACUAAUUAAAUCAGAUAAGUCAUUGAUUGACUGUAUUCAAUGAGAGAAUCUCAUUAUUAUCUGUUAUUCCCUAUGUAACAAUUGUUUUUAAUGAGAGAAUCUCAUUAUUAUUUCUCUGCUUGAAAAAACCAGAGCGACGAACGAUGAACCAGAACUAAGAAAGGUACGAUAGCUGUAGAUAUCUUGUAGUAGAGAGCAAUGGAAAAAACAUAUAUCAUUGAACGGAAAAAACAUCCUGUAAAAGAGAGCGACUGUUAUACUGUGUCGAUCCCUCUAAAUAAACCCUAAUAAGUCAUUGUAAAACGUUUGAAAAAACCUUAAAUCGUUCCACACGACCAUUUUCAGUCUCCGACACCUGCUGGAAAACAUGUUCAUUUUCAUUUAGGGGUAAAAUAUUACAAGAAUAGAAAUCCGAUUUCUUAGAAAUGCCAUACCUCAUUUCCUUCAUGUGUCGCGAUUAUCAUCAGGAUUAUCGGAAGAUCUAAACCGACGAUAAUUGGAAAGAACUGUUGGACGACCGGACGAUAACCAUAACCCCUAUAACUCGACGACAGGAGCGGGACUACUGGCAAAUCUUGUGAAAGUCUCUGAAUCCUUAACCCCUCUCAUUCGCGAUUCAUAAGCCGAAGGUAUCCUAUUUAUAAGAAAAUAUAUCUUAACCCUCUUCGAAUCCCUAACCUCGUUCUGAGUAGAUGUAUGGAUUAUUUUUACCCUAAAAACCGAAUAAUAUAUUAACCGGUUAUCCUGUUAUCGAAAACCGAUUAAAAGAAUAAUCGAUUAUUGAAAAUCGGAUUAUCAAAAACCGAAUAAUAUAUUAACCGGUUAUCCUGUAGUUUAAUCGAAAACUGGAUUAUCGAAAACCUAUUCCUAUAGAAUAACUGAUUAAAGAAAAACGGAUGUCAUCUUGCUGACCCGUUAUCGGAAAAUCAAUUUUGGGUUUACAGUUGAAUACCAGUCUGAAAAUUGGGUUUACACCGGACCGAAGAUCUGAGAAAUUCCAACUGUUCGGAGUUAAUCGAAGAAUGACGUCGCAGCACACCGUCGGAAAAAAGACGUUAAGAGACAUUGUCGAUCACUCUGACAAUCAAUAUUCUGAUAUCCCUCUUAGUCCACAGCAAGAAGAGGUUAUUGAUGCGAUUGCAAGUGGGAAGUCGGUCUUCAUUACAGGUUCUGCUGGUACCAGUAAGAGUUUCAUUCUUCAACAUGCUGUCUCCACACUUCGACGUAUUCAUCCAUCAAACUCCGUUUUUGUGACUGCAUCUACCGACGUGGUUGCAUGUGCUCUGGGUGGACAAACUCUGUAUUUGUUCGCCGGCGUCGGCUUAGGGAAAGGGACAAAAUUAGACCUUGUAUCUUUUGUUUUAAAAAGUAAAAAGGCCGUUGAGCGUUGGAAGAGAACAAAAGCCCUUGUUAUAGAUGAGAUGAGCAUGAUCGAUGGACAGUUUUUUGAUAAUCUGGAGUAUAUAUCUUGCUCGAUUCGAAAUUCUAAUCACGAUGGAGAUAAGCCUGUACUUUGGGGAAGCAUACAACUGAUUGUUAGUGGUGAUUUUUUUUCAACUGCCUCCCAUAAACGCUCCCAAUCCGCGAAAUGAGUUCGCUUUUGAAUCUGCUUGUUGGGAAGCUACAUUCGAUAUCCAUAUGGAAUUAACGCAUGUUUAUCGUCAGUCUGACUCGGAGAUUAUCGAAUUCCUCGAAGGAAUCCGACAUGGACAAGUUGAUCGUGAGAAUAAAAAUUUCAAUAGAUUCCUACAUGGGAUCGCAUCAAUUAACAGGGAUAGUGACAAAAAUGAUAAUGAAACCCGUCUAUUUCCAAGAACAGAUGACGUUAGAAGAGUUAAUCAGGAGCGUCUUAUAAGUUUAGAAAAGGAUAUGGUGAAGUUCAAUGUUGUGGACCAAAGUUCUAUGCCUUGGUUAAAACAAUUAAAAUAUCAGAUCGCCCCAGAUGAACUGGAAAUUUGCGAGGGUGCUAGAGUAAUGCUUAUCAAAAACACCCAUCAAGCAAUCGGACUUGUGAACGGCGCAACUGGAAUAGUUACUCGAUUUAAAGUAGGUUCGGUAUUGUCAUCUGAAAACAAUCCGAACGGUGUUGUUCCUACAGUUAGGUUCGACUCUGGACUAAAAGUUUCAUUGGAAGUUGAAAAAUGGGACAUUAUGGAAGGCAGUGAAGUUAAAACUGUUCGUCGGCAAAUUCCACUGAUACUAGCUUGAGUACUUAGUGUUCACAAAUGUCAAGGGAUGGCCCUAGAUCGUCUUACUACCGACCUGACCCAAGCAUUUGGAUCUGGAAUGGUAUACGUAGCUCUGUCUCGAGUGACCACAAUUCAAGGUCUCCGUGUGUCUGGCUUUAGUCCAGAGAAAAUCAAAGCGCAUCUGAAGGUUUUAAGUUUCUACACAAGGCUUUUAUUAAGAUCGUCUGACUAAUUAUUUUAUUUCUUCACCAGGCUUUAAUCUAGGUCUUUCAAUCAAAACCUAAUAGAUCAUGAUUAGGUUUAGUUUUAGGCUACGUUCUUUCCUCUACUUAUUCAUUGUAUGUUACUGAUCGAAUUACUCUUUGAUUGUAUGUUUUUUAUUCAGAAUCCUGGUCAGUAUUUAUCCAGAUUUUAUUAUGUAUUAACCGAACUUGAUAUCAUUCACCGAUUCAUCACAAUACAUUAAUAUGUAUUGACCCAACCAAAUUGUAUCAUACGUCUUAUCCUAUUUCAUGCAAUAUUAAAAGUCCUCUAUCUCACCAUUGCAAAUAACAAAAUCCCACACAUAAAUCCCAUAGUAAUGCUUGAACCAGUCGUUCGAAAUUGCAGCAGAUACUCACAUUACCAACGACUCCUCUUUACUACCCACAUUCGCCGACGCAAUCUCCAACUUUACACCGAAGAACAGAAGAAUAAUUCUCAAUAUUCCGACAGGCGACUCCCCCAAUAUCUUCACAAAAGAAUUCCCGGAGGUCAAUCCGAGAAUUUACUUGGCAGUCCCCUAAAUCAGGAUGGAACCACCACUCCUUCUAACAAAAUUCUACUGUCACGCAAGUCCACCUGCACCGUGACAAACUGGCAUUGCUCCGAACCAGCAACCUACCAGAUUCAUCAACCCUGCAUUCGUCGAAACCGCCAUCGCUGACAUCUGCCUUUCUAGGAACAGAUCGGACGAAAGCUUGCGCGGACGAACCCAACUAAAUUGUAUCACACGUCUGAUCCCAUUUCCUGCAAUGUUAAAAGUAUCACACGUCUGAUCCCAAAUUGUAUCUCACCAUUGCAAAUAACAAAAUCUCACACAUAAAUGCAAUAGUAAUGCUUGAACCAGUCAACGAAAUUGCAACCGAUACUACCAUUACGAACUACUCCUCUUUACUACCCUUAUCCGCCGAUGCAAUCUCCAACUCUACACCGAAGAACAGAAGAAGAAUUCCCAAUAGUCCGACAGGAAACUCCCAAUAUCUUCACCAAAGAAUGACUGGACGUCAAUCCUAGAAUUGACUUCCCAGUCCCCAAGAUCAGGACGGAACCACCACUCCUUCCACCAAAAAUGUGCUCUCACGCGAGUCCGCCUGCUCCGUGACAAACUGGCAUUGUUUUGAACCAGCAACCUACCAUAUUCAUCAACCUGACGCUCGUCGAAAUGACCAUCGCUUGCAAACGGAUCGGAACAGAUCGGAUGAAAGCUUACAAAUGGCGAUAGCGGAAAUGAGAAUUCAAAGGGGGAUUUGUGCAAUUGCGGCACGGAUGAACCCGACUUUCCCAUGAUUCCAGCUUAUAUUCAUGAUAUUGAUCUUCGAUGGGUCGAAUGCGAGAUCCUUCGAUAAAAUAGAAGAUCGUUCCCAAUAGAAAUACUAUCAGCGCCCCCCAAUAGAAAUAAAAUAUGAAAAAAUCGCAGAAAAAAAUGAAAUGAAAGAUCAACGGAAAUCGCAAAAAAAAACAAGCUGAUUAAAAAUUGAAGAACCCAACACGGUAGCCAAAAGAAAGGGAUAGAAAGUUAAAAAAUGGAAAACGAUGGAAGAAGAAGAAAAACAUACCAGGACGACGACAAGUAGGCGAAAGCAACGACAAAAUGCAAAUCGUAGAAGACAAAAUAUGUAAAAGCAAACUGGAGAUCAACAAUCGGAAAAUACAAGAAAAACAGAUCAGGACGACGACGGAUAGGCGACAUCAACGACAAAAUUCCAACCUUAGAUGAAAAAUAUUAAAGAGCAAACCGGAAAACGACAAUCGGAAAAUGCAAACCGGAGAACGAAGACGAACGUAGCAACGAAUAGGCGACAUCACAACGACGAAUUUCCAACCGUAGAAUGCAAAAAACAACGAAGAACGGAGAACGAAGAAUCCAGUCACAGACGAACGGAGAACGAAGAUACGAAAUAAAUAUGUUAGACUAACUAACUAAUAUAGUUAGUUGUUAGUAGAAGGUUAAAUAAACUAAACAAUAAUGAUGUAUUAUAAAUAAUACUCCAAGUAAAUGAUAAACCAUCACUUGAUCAUUGCAUCAACUCACUGGUGUUAUUCCACCUCCGAUCAUCGUCGUGUUUUACUAAUAUGGUAUCAUCAACUAGCAACGCCGAUGGCAAUGUAGAUCUUGUUUCCGCUGCAAACACUGGAUUGGGGGAGGCACCGCAAGUUUUGGCUCCGACGCAAUCGUCGGGGAAGGUUGUCAUGAUCAAACAAUUGAAGUGCGUCACCUUAGAAGACGAUAACUACUUCAAUUGGCAAGCUCAAUUCUCGGCUCUUCUCCGAGGAUACAGGCUCUUGGAUUACGUGGAGGGAAGAAUCAAGAUAGUCGACGGUUCUUCCGAUGAGCAGCAAGACCAAAUCAUUCUAAGUUGGAUGCUUUCGGCGAUCUCUCCGGCGAUCUUACCGCAAGUAGCCGCGCUCACCACAUCGCACGAAGUAUGGGAGUGCCUGUGACAAAUUCACUCAUCCGAUUCUGAGACUCGACUUCUACAUUUGCGAACGCAGCUACAAUCCGUGAAAAAGGGGACAAUGCAUGUCUAUGGCGCAAUACAUCAAAUACAUUUGCAUCGCCAAAGACAAACUCAUAUUAAUCGCUGGAGAAAAGACGCAAGAUUCACAGCUCAUAUUAAUCGCAUUGGGAGGUCUUGGACCCGAGUACAAGCUGUUCUCAACAUCAAUUACUACUCGUUUUGAUCAUUCAAUGUCAUUCUCGUAAUUCCAGCAACUCCUCAUGGACCAUGAUCUGCGUGAAGAAGAACCAAAUAAAUUUGAGGUAAACGUCGUGAACAAAGAAAAGAAAUCGUUUGAAAGAGAGACAAGUGGAAAGUUAUUACCUUGCCAGAUAUGCUCCCGGAAAGGGCACAAUGCAUUAAACUGCUACAAUAGGGUCAACGUUGUGAAGUUUCCACCAAAUCAUAGCAGAAAAUUAACACCAAACGGAGUAUUUAAUACAAGCUUGCCAUCCGCUAAUGCAGUAACAAUGUGGUGCCCUGCUUCGGGGGAAACCACACACAUUACUUCAAAUGGUAAAAUUCUAAAUUUCACAGAUAAAUAUAAGGGUUCAGAAAAAGUUACAACUGGCAAUGGUGAAUCGAUGUUAAUAACGAAUUCGGGUAAAAGCAGAUUUUCUUGCCAAGGCAAAGAAUUCAUGUUGGACGAUAUACUCGUAGUUCCUGAAACUUCUAAAAAUCUAUUAUCUGUACAUAAAUUAUGUGUAGAUAAUCUUGUAUCUGUUGAAUUUGACUCUCAGAAAGUGAAGAUUCGAGAUCUCGCAACUAAAGAGGUCAUAGCAGAAGGAAGAGAAGAUGGAGGUUUGUACCAAAUUCCGAUGGGAACGAUCAAAAAUCAAGAAGUGUUGUCUAGUGAAAAGGUGUCGGGAGACCGAUGGCAUGCACGACUAGGCCAUCUUAAUGAGCAAGCAGUUAAAUAGUUAAUAAAUAAUUUUGUAAUUCAAUCAAAUUGUAAAACAAUAACAGAAUGUGAUCCGUGUUUGAGAAAUAAAUCAAGAUCUCUACCACACAAAUUAAGUGAAAAUGUAUAUGCAGCUCCACUCGAUCUCAUUUACACCGAUAUCUAGGGACCGGCCCCGAUAACAUCAUCGGAAGGGUUCAAGUAUUAUAUUAAUUUUGUAGAUGCAGCCACUAAUUACAAUUGGGUUUUUCCAAUGGCAAGCAAGGCAGAAGUUGGGCAAAUUUUUGAACAGUUUAGGUUAUGGGCUGAAAAGCAAUGUGAAACAAAGAUUAAGGAAUUACAAUCAGAUAACGGAUUGGAAUUCAAGAAAUUAUCCAAGUAUCUAGAGAAACUGGGAAUAGUGCAUCGAUUUUCUGCACCCUACAGUCAUCAAUAGAUGGGGUCUGUAGAAAGACGCCACCGGCAUCUAGUUGACACGGCAUUAACUCUAAUGAAGCACACCGAUCUACCCGUCGUUUACUGGGAUUUUACGGUGCUAACGGAAACACAUUUAUAUAACCGUAAUCCUUCCAAAAUACUAAACAAUUCAUCACCGUUUGAAGUCCUGUUUCAAAGAAAUCCAUAAUACAAUAAACUUUGAGUGUUUGGAUCGAAAUAUUAUCCUUGCUUACGAAACUAUCGAGAGAACAAAUUGUCAGAAAAAUCAAUCUCGUGUGUGUUCUUGGGAUAUUCUCAAGGUCAGGAUGCCUAUAUCUGCUACGAUCCCGUCGGUCAGAGAAAAUACAUCUCCAGAGACGUGCGAUUUAUUGAAGAAGAUUUUUCUUUAAAUAAACUACUUUCCAAGGAAGAAGGUGCAAAUAUAUCAAAUUCAUCUAAAGAAAGAAGGAAAGUGAACUGCCCUAUCAUCCGAUGGGUUAACAAAGAGGGAUCGGAUUGUCCAAGUAAUGAUCCAGUUAAUGAAGUAAUCGGUCCGGCCAACAAUCUAGUUGAAGAUCGGGUUCCCCAAAUAGUCACCGAUAACGACCCGGUACAAAAUCAACUUGAACAAACGGUUCUCCUAAAUAGUAGACAGGACUCAACGGACGAGGUAACAUUUACCGAAAGCUUCAUGGACUCACACGAUCCGAUACAAGAAAACUAUUACUCGUCGGAGAAGAACGCUUCUGAAAAACAAACAGAGGUGGCUACCCAACGGCCGGCAACAAGAGGUUCGAAGGGAAUAGUUAAACCAAAUCCACGUUAUGCAUUAUCGAUCCAAGCCAACCAAUAGUUCGUCCCACGUUCACCGAAUAUGGCAAUGCUAGACGAAAACUGGAGAACGGCAAUGCAAUCGGAGUUCGAUGCAUUAAAAAGAAACCAAACAUGGGAAUUGAUAGAUCGUUCGGAAAAAGAUAAUGUGAUAAAUACGAAAUGGACAUUCAAAGUGAAGCAACGACAGGAUGGAUCAAUCGAGCGGUAUAAAGCAAGGUGGGUUGCGAAUGGGAUGAAACAAGUCGAAGGGAUGGACUACACAUACACUUUCAGCCCAGUCGUAAAGGCAAUUUAAUUCGGUGCGUUUGGUGCUCACACUCGUGAUUUCCAGAAAUUGGAACCUGACCCAACUCGACGUAUCAAACGCAUUCCUUCAUGGAGAAAUUGACGAAAGGAUAGUGGUUACCCAACCAGCCGGUUCUUGUAGUGCCAAUCGUGUAUGCCUUCUCAAGAAAGCCUUGUACGACUUGAAGCAGUCACCACGAAUGUGGUACCAGAGGCUACGAGAUUUUUUGAUCACAAUGAGUUUCAAAGAAAGCUACGCAGACCCAUCCCUGUUUCUAAGUUUUCAAGAAAAUGAGAUGAUCUUUUUGUUUGCAUAUGUAGACGAUAUUGUCGUCACUGGGUUAUCGGAAAAAUUGGUGGAAGAGAUAGUAGACAAGUUGGGGAAGGAGUUCGCCUUACGAAAAUUGGGCGAACUCACAUAUUUUCUUGGCAUUCAUGUACGAAGAAGUAAAUAAGCAUUAUGUUUGUCGCAACAACAAUAUCUCGUUAGCCUUUUAGCCAUCUGCGACACCGAUGCUCGCGCAGCAAGACCUCUUCUCGAAAGAAUCUCCAAUUACAGAACAAACAGAGUAUCGAAGAAUAAUCGGUUCAAUGCAAUACCUCACACUCACACGCCCAGAUAUUCAAUUCGCAGUGAACAAAUUGGCACAGUUCAUGUCAUUUCCUAAACCGGUGCACUGGGCGACAAUGAAGAAGGUUCUUCGUUACUUAUUAGGAACCCAAACAAUGGGAUUCACUUUGUCAAAGGUAAUAGACUUCACUUUGACAGGUUACUGCGACGCAGACUGGGAGGUGACACAAUAGACAGGAAAAGUCAGACGGGUAUCCUAAUAUACUUGGGCGAGACUUUGGUAAGUAAUUGGUUCUCGAGAAAACAAACCACGGUGGCGAGAUCGAGCACGGAGGCAAAGUACAGAGCGAUUGCGAGCACGGUAGAGGAAUUGGAGGCAACUAAAUCGCUACUAACGGAACUGGGAGUAGAAGUAUCGUUUCCAAUGAGAUUGCUGAGCGACAAUCAAGGGGCAACAUUCGUAGCCAAUAAUCCAAUAUGCCACACUAAACUCCGGUACGUCGCAAUGGACCUACAUUUCGUCCGAGAAGGGUGAAGUCAAGGUGGAACAUAUUUCAGGAAAGAAACAAAGAGCGGACAUUCUCACCAAAGCUGUGAAGCCAAUCACUUUUCGUGAACUCUGGCUCAAACUCGUCGGAGAACCUCCGCCGGUUUGAGGCGGGGGGGUGUUAGACUAACUAACUAAUAUAGUUAGUUGUUAGUAGAAGAUUAAAUAAACUAAAUAAUAAUGAUGUAUUAUAAAUAACACUCCAAGUAAAUGAUAAAUCAUCACUUGAUCAUUCUCACCGGUGUUAUUCCACCUCCGAUUAUCGUCGUGUUUUACUAAUAAAAUAUACGGAGAACGGAAAAUUGGAAAAUAAAUACUGACACUAAUACACUACAUCUACUACUGACACUACAUCUGAUCACCUACGACCUACGAAAAUACCUAUGAAAUUACUAAACUAAUAACGAAAUUAAACUAAAUUCGAAAAUUUCAAAACAGUUCGUCAAUCUGUGAUCCAACGGACCAGGAUCAAUGUGCACACCUAAUCCGUUGUGUUUAAAAUAUAUCUAUAAAAAAUUAUAUUUAACCCCCUACAUUUUAAAUUUUUUUAAAAAAAAUUAGUUUUUAAAUUUAAACCCCAAAUAUGAAAUGUAAAUUAAUCAACCUACGCUAUAUAAAAUUUAUAAACUGCUUUUUCAAAAGCGGUCGUUAAUUACUAAAGUUAGGGAUGGUUUUUGGAAAGGUCGUCCUUAAUUAUUUCAUAAAAAUAUAUGUAAAAUAUAAUCAAUAAGUUAUGAACGUUUUUUCAAAAAAACGUCGUUAAUUCUUAAGGUCGACAACGGUUUAUGAGAAAACCGUUGUAACCCAAUAAAAAAACAGAAUUAGAGAAAGCAUGCAUUUACAAGCGAUCAACAGAUUUUUCACAAUUUUUUUUUUAAAAUUUAGGGACAGUCAAAAUCCGUUUUCUUAUAGUGUCUUCGAUUGAAUCUAGGGAUUUGCAAUAUCACAACUGCUUAUCUUCAAUCUCAACCGCCUCUACCAUCGAUCACCACCCUACCGAUGACUUCAUUCGUGACCAAUUGAGCAUGAAGAAUGACACUCAAUUGAAGAGCACGACCGGUCAAAUAGUGGAAAAAGCAGGAGCAAAUGAAAACACAUCUUGGGAUUAUCUAAUCGAUCAAGGUGACCUUCAAUUCCUAUGAUGAAAUCAACUAAUAGGCCAUCGAUUUAAGGUUGGAAUCCAAAAUACUGUGCAAUAUUCAUGAUGCAAAAGGAAAGUUAAAGGUAUCUAUGGCUUUAACAUGGUGUAUUGGUGUAAAGAUGAAACAUUUAAUUGGAUCUGAAUUUAAUCCUGAACGUCAGAUGUACAUUUAUGUGUAAGUCUCUCUUGAUUAAUUGCUUCAACUACCAAAGUCAGAUAGAUGCCUUAGAGUUGAUCGGAGUUACGUAUAGUGAGGGGCCCAACUGAUUGUAUCAAAUGAUUGGAAAAGACACAUAUGACGUAUUUAAUUUAUAAGGGGCCGGCCGGACUGCCGGAGGGGAUCGAUGAUCGAUUCCGACAACACCAUAACGUCUACCGGUCAAAUCGAUGUUCUUAAUUAGAUAAACAUGCAGCAAGCAACCCACAGCAGAGCUUCAUAAGCAAUAAGCAUUAAGAAUCAUGAUAGCUAGCUACUAGGUUCCGUGAUCUUAUCUGGCUUCUUCUGAACUCUGAUUGAUUGAGGGAAUAGGGAUGCAUGCAUCCAUGAUCCAUGCAUGCUAUAGGUAGCUUCUCUAUAUCUAGUCUAGGUAUGGGGAAGGUAGAUAGAUGGCAGAAUCAAGUAUGGCAGAACUUAACCCAAAAACGGUACUUAGCUGUUGUAGUUUUUAGAACAUUGCGCUCAGAAACGUCCGUCCGUCCGUCCGGCCAUCAUCUGCAUGUGGUACGUCCGGCCAGCAGAUAUCCCAUACCCAAAUUAAAUUCUAUUAAUUAAUUAUAUUCCACUCCCUCUCUUUUCCAAUAAUUACCCAUUGCAAGCAAGCCAAGUAGUAGUGUAUAUUACCAGCCGCAUCUCUAGCUCUAUCCUCAUCUUGUUUUCAGUUUUCGCAGAACAAGAUAGCUAGCAAGAGUGAUGACGAAAGAGAGAAAUCCCAAUCCCAUCCGUCUGUUUGGCAUCGAGUUCGGUCCUGGAGCUAGCGACACCAUUGGAGAAGAGAGUAGUAAUAGGAAGUUCGAGUGUCAUUAUUGUUGCCGUGAUUUUCCGACAUCGCAAGCGCUUGGAGGUCAUCAGAAUGCUCACAAGAGGGAAAGACAGCAAGCGAAGAGAGCUCACCUCCAAUCCGCCAUUGCUGCUCAUUACAUCCGUCAUUCUUCUGUUCCGGAUGCCCACAUCGUCUAUGGCAGUUUUAAUUCCAACACCCAACUCCCCCUCCCCCCCAUCCACGGAAACACCGCUACUUAUAAUUAUUCCUCCCCGCCAUUCUACGUCGCCAACGAGCACCUACCAGGCCACGGUGCUGCUUCAUAUGUGGGUGAAGGUUGGGGAAACGUGGACGGAGGAGGGUUCUAUGGUCAUGGAAGCUUGAAGAGGCACGUCGUAAGUGGAUCGGCUUCUGUCGGAGUUCAUCAUCAGGACCAAAUUAGUUUGGAUUUGUGCUUGUAAUUAUUUUCGUACGCUUCAACGUUUAAGCUACUUUAAUUAAUUUAUUCACUGAUUAAUUAAAUUCCUCCUAUAUAGUUUCUUCUGGCUUCUUGUUUGUAUAUAUAUUAAUUCUCCGAUGGAAACUCAAUAAUAACCCAUCAAGAACAUGUCGACGGCCGGAAACAUGAAGAAGAACAUGUCGACGGCUGGAAACAUGUAGAAGAACAUGAAUAAUAUUAGAGAUCAAACCAAACCAUAACGAUAUAACUAACGAUCGAACAGAACUGCAACUUCUCACGAGACUCCACUGCAUGGAUCUUGAAGUCUGUAGUUUUGGGUUACGUACGGUCGGACAUUAUGUUAAUUAGUUUGGUUUCAUGACAAUGACUGGAAGAGAUGUGUGUCGACAUGGGCGUCGAUGCAUCAUGUGACGGUGGUGGUCAUGUGUUUAAUUAACGUCGACAGUCUGAAUGUCUGGUGUGAGUUUACAUGUUACUCCAUUGUCAGGUUGCCUCCAUUUUCCAACCCCAGUGACCAGCACUGCGUAGUCUGCAUGUUACACUGCAUAGUUUCAACUUUAGCUAUUAAUUAGGUACUUUAAUUUGUCUGUUAAUCAAGGACAUUCGAUAUUAAUUUAUUAGAAAUCGUGAGAUAUCUCAAUAUACAUAUACUUUCAAUUAAAUUUAAUUCUUUUAAUUUUUCAUCUCAUGAAAGCUAGAAACUUUAUAAGGAGAUUAUAAAAACGCUCAUAAAACUUGGAAAUUAGUAAAAUAAGGAGAUUAUUUUUUUCUAGAUGAAAUGAAUGGACAGGAAUUCAUCUGAAAAUUGUUUCUUUUAACAAUUAUCAGUUUAUUUUUAUUUUUAUUGGGCUGAUUAUUAUAAAGCCCAAUAAUGAGUCAGUCUUAUAAAUUGACAAUGCAAGUUAUUCACAUCUAGUACGACUUUCUAUCCUUUUCAAUUCUUUUCAAUUCGUUGUAAAGGCCUCGGCCCAAAGUGUAUAUAUAACUUUGUAAAUUGUAAUUUCCAUCGUUGACUCGUUUUUAAUUUUUCUUUGACUCUCACGAUUUCUCUCUCGUCAAAGUCUUGCCGGAAUCGCUCAAUUGCCGUCACCAUCUUCGCAGUGACGACGCCGGUCGACUAGAAUCGAAUUCGUUUACACGACUUCUUUUUUAUUACGGCCUUGGCAAUUUUAAGUUUAUCCAUGAAGUCUCCAUGCCAACUUUUGUUUGUUUACGUACAUAUGUUAUGUUGAUCAGCUGAUCAAUUUUCAAUAAUUUUAUUUUUUUAUUUUUUAUUUUUAAAUCGAUGGUGAUUCAAAGUACUAAAAUGACCAAGAUGGACUUUAACCAUUUUCGAAUUUUCUGCUCAAGUAUAAAUAAACGGUAGAUUUCUAAAAAAACUCAAAUAGAGAGAUGAUCGAGAAUCAAAAUCUACCCUAAUUAAUUAAUACAAAUCACAUCUAGUAAAUCUUGACGAAACGUCUAACUAAUUACUUGUAGAUCAGCAUAAUUAAUUAAAUGUUAUAUAUUUAUAAUUGAGCUAACAAUGUAGUAAUCAACAAGAUCAAUAAUAUUAUUAAUCAUAUAUACCUUAUUACAAUUUAUAACACUCAUAAUUAAUUGUAACGCAUAACUAUAAUCAACACUGUACGUAUUUAUCAGCAUAAUUAACAAUACUAAUCAUCCAUGAAUAUAUAAAUUUUAUUUUAUUUUAAUUCUUAUAAGUAUCACUUUCAUUCAUUAAUUGUUGUUGCCUGGCUUAUUGUCUGUUAAUUAGUGACGAUGAUAAAUAAUUAUAACUAGGUAUGUAAAUAAUAUUCUAAUGAAUUGAUUAAUUUGAUUUAAAUAGAUUUACAGAAUAAAAUAAAGUCCAUCAUUGUAAAAUUUACAUAUCUUGGAGUUGAAUAUAUGUAAGAUAAUAUAAAUUAAUAAACAUUACCAUCAUCCCAAUUGCAUUUUGUCAAUUUGACUUAAUCUUUAUUUCAUAAUUACAAGAAAUGCAUGAUGUAACGAAAUGAAAUUUUAUAAAUUUAUAUAUUUUUGGUGGUUAGGUAAUUAUAAGGUGGGGUAGGUAAAUAUAUCCAUCGAUUGAUCUUGUUUAAUUAUAGUCAAUGAGAAAUUUAUAUAUUACAUUUUAUAAUUACGUAAUUAAAAUCAUUUUUAUACUCAUUUUUUGCAUUACUUAUUUUUUACGUUUACGUGAUUUUUUUUCUGAAAAACAAUACAAAAACAAAUUUAUAUAUAAAAAAGAUCAAAUGUAAGGUAUAAGUUAUAACUUUUCAUCUAUUCGAUCAUCUAUCGUUUUUUUGUAAGGUGAAUUAACUAAUUUCACCAAACUAAUAUUGUUUUAUACCUAUCACGAGACCUAACUCAAACUGAUGCAACUAAUUAAUUAAACUAAAAGUUGCAGAAAUUAAUUAAUCUUUUGUUGGUAUGAAAAUAUACGUCGACAGAUGUUGAAAGAAAUGAAAAAUAGCAGUGUACUUACCGAUGACUAUGUAUAUGAUCGAUAGAUCGAUCACUCUUUUUUUCUCUCCAUAUCUGUUGCCGUUUGUUCGGUACCCACAUGAAAAGAGAGCUCAUCAUCGAUCUCCAUAUAUAUUAAUUCUAGAUAACAUUCCGGCACUGCUUUAAAUAUUCUCUCCUAUCCAAUCCCGGCUGAAUCGAUGUGUACCAGAGGCCACUGGAGACCGUCGGAAGACGAGAAGCUUAAAGAGUUGGUGAACAAGCAUGGCCCUCAUAAUUGGAAUGGAAUUGCCCGAAAUCUUCAUGGUCGAUCUGGUGGGUACUGUAACGUCGUACAUGUUUAUAUAUGUACGUUGGAUUUGAUUAAAUAAUCUUAUCAAUUGACCAGGAAAGAGUUGCAGACUGAGAUGGUUCAAUCAACUGGAUCCAAGGAUCAACAGGAGUCCGUUCACGGAGGAGGAGGAAGAAAGACUUAUCGAGUCUCACAGAAUCCACGGUAAUCGAUGGUCGGUAAUAGCAAGGCUUUUCAAAGGAAGAACAGAUAACGCGGUGAAGAACCACUGGCAUGUGAUCGAAGCUAGAAGAUCUAGAGAGAGGACAAGAUUUCUCUGUAAGAUGAGAAAAACUGUCGAUCAUCAUCGGCCGAUGUCAGAGAAAAUCCUCAACUGCCCCAAACAACCGUCGACCACUGCUCAAUUUUUCUUCACUCAUCCACACCAUCACCAUCGUCGUCAUCCGUUCUACUUUGGGAUAAAGACUCCCGAGAGCGAUGAAAAUAGCAGUGCAGAUCGAAAUUCCAUCAGGUUUCAUGAUUUUCUUCGACUAAACAAUGAAGAUGAAGAAGGAGGGAGGGAGAGUGAGGGGAAGUGGAUCGGAAAGAAAGUAGAUACCAUGGAGGAAAGUGACAAAGCAGCCGGAACGAGUCGUGAUUUCAUAGACUUCAUGGCUGAAUCGAAUGGUUGAUAUUUAGAUAUAAUUAAUCGAAUGCUAACAAUUUGGAUCGAUCAUACAGAAAUUUAAGAUAUAUGAACAUAUAUAAUGUCUACUAAUUAAUUAUAUUGUUUAUGAAUUAUAUAUGAUCGAGUUACACACAUUUAUAAUGACACCAUAAACAUAGGAAAAUUAAUUCAACUUAUUAUACUUAUUUCGAAGAUUUAGGGUUCAAGAAUCGAUUUUUAUUACGAUAUAAAAAUCACUCGCCCAAUUUAUUGAUCCUUAUAGAAGAAAAAGAGAGUAGAUUAAUAGAGUUGAGAGAUUUAGUUAUAAUUAUCCCAUUAAUAGAAAGUGUGAUUAUAAUAUAAAUAGGUUAAUCUUAUAAUUAACAAUAUCGUUCUCAAUACAUGUUUUUUCAAUUUCAAAUUAGGUCAAGUGUUCUUGACGAAUAUUGUUGCACGAUCGAUGACUGCCCUAGUUUACGUUUCUGCUGAUCGAUCACCAGUUACGUCUGUCAUCGUGGUAUCAAAGCACAGUUCAUCGUCAGUAUCUGGCCAUGCGUACAGUUAACUGGUCCACUAGAAUUCCCUUACCCGACAAACCGAAACAUACAUUUCAAUUAAUUCGUCUGUCCAAUGACAAUUUCUUACAUUGGUGAUGGUAGGACAAGACCUAAUUGAGUUUGUGGAUGACUCAUGACGUGUAGUCGGAGUAAAAGAAGAAGAUAAAUAAGAUAAUAUCAAGCAAUCGCAUAUUAGGGUUUGGGAAUGGGGAUUUCCCGAUUUUAUAUUAUCAAUAAAAAACAAAGUAAACAGUAAUUACAAAACGUUAACCUAAAUUGAUAUGUUAAGCAACUAUUUAUACUAAUCUAUUUUAAGAAAUGAUGAUAAGUGGAUUGAGUUGGUCCAUUUGUCAUUAAGCCAUUUAUGAAAUAAACAACGAGAUCAAUAGUGCAAGCCCUAACUGAACAACUUCUGAUCAUCACAUGAUUUAUUUUAAUCGGAAAGAUGUCCCAUAAGACAUCUCCCUCUUACAGAAGUAGGUUGCACUGGAAGUUUUCGUGAUGAUGUGAUUUUAGGGUUCACAUAUUCACCACCUUCAGCGCCAAUGUUGACAUAAACACCUGAACUCCUAUCCAUACAUGAGCUUCUUUGCAAUAUCGAGUUGUUGAUGCUUAGUGUGUUGCUGUUUACAAUGUUCCGACCGCUUGGAUUUCGUUCACUCUUAUUCCAUCCAUUUGUACAAUUUGCUUGAUGAUUGCGAAGGAAGCCAUUAUCAGCGACCAUUGAUGCUCCUUUGUUCGUACCAACCAAAGUCACGACACACAUGGGUAGACGUUUAGUACCAAUAUUUUCCAAAUUUGGAUCAAAUUUGCAUCUGGUUGAUUUUAAGUUAGGGAUAACUUCUUCCUUGCCUGGUAAUAUCUUCUCAUUUGUUGUAAUUUCAGCCAAUAUUGGGUUUGAAUGUUCAAUGAAAUCAAUUGCGAUUUCCGAUCCCAUUGAAAUAUCCUCAUCAUUGGAAUUUGUUGGUGGUGAUGUUGACGUAGAAUACAACAAUUUCUUCAACAUAUUCACAUGACGUGGUUGUGACUGCAACUUGGAGCAAUCGAUUUGGUUACUUGAUUUUUUUUUUUUAUACAUAGGUAGGCACAAGGCUAACCUCUUCUUCGAAAGCUUCUUCUCUUCUUCCUCCAUCCUCAUUCAAUUUUUUGCUGCCUCCAAACAAUAAUGGAAGACAAAGAUAAGUAAAAUUCAUAUAGUGGGUAAAUAUACUAAUAAAAAACUUUUCUUUAAGUCUAAGAAAACAUAUUCCAAACAAAAUUUCAUUGGUUUUCAAUAACUUAAAAUAAAAGUAAAGUAUCCUGAAUUCAAUUCAUUUGUAAAUAAGUAUUCUAUAAAGCAAAGAAUUACUUCGAUACCAUGUGAAAAAUGAGUCUCUUAGAGACCAAGAAAAGCAUCAUGCAUGUACAAUCAACCUGUAAUAUCAUGUAUACAUAGUAAAAUCAACUUGUGUUCUGAUACCAGAUGAAAAUGUUUGGGAGAAAGACUCAUAUAUUGAAGUCGGGCGGUACAGUAUUGUCAUUGAAAUACUCCCUUGUGACAGUUUCGGCAUCACAAAACCUCACCUUAAAAGAUAAAACACAAAUCAAUUAUAUAUUAAGAUUGCAUUCACUACAAUCAAGUGUUUAGAAUAAGAAUAGUAGAGGCGUGAAGUAUAUCUAUAACAUACCAGAGACGCAUAUGAUUUCAACAAUGGCUUAACGACAUGCCAAAUUGGUUGAAACACGAAUGGUGCACCGACAAAGAGUACCUGUCCAAUGCGUUUUGGAUAGUAAUAGUAGAAAACAUCAAUCUACACAAGGUGAAGAAAAUAUAUUAGAUUACUACGAACAAACCGUGACCACAAUAAAAGGCAAUGGCAUAUUGGGGUCCAUCCACUUACCAAAAACUUUAGAAAUGAGAUAUCUCCAUUCUCUAUUGUGAACCCUCUUAGAUCAAAUAUCCCCAGUAUAUCUUCCUUACCUAGAGGAAGUUUCCCAAGUGCCUCUUCGAUCAAAAAUACACACAACUUCUCGUUCUCCCUAGAAUCCUGCGUCUGCGACCAAAUGAUAUCGGCAUUUCAUUUCAUUAACUACGUACUCCAGGAAGAACUAACUGGACACAGUUCGAAAAAUCGAAUGUGAAAUGUCACUGAAUCCCACCAAUGCAAAAACACAAAUGUAAUUUAAUAAUUAAGCAACACAAGACAUUUGUCAUGUACUCAUGUUGAUUGUUGAUCAACCAUGAUGUGAUGAUACACUAAUACCAUAUAAAAAAAACCCAGUAACUGAGUUGAAAGAUAGCUAAAACAUAUUCAAAAUCAAACGAAGGAAAAAAUAUAUCAAUAUCAAAUGAAGGAAAACUAGCUUACAGCAGGAAAAUGUUUGGAAGCCACCACAACAAGUACUGGUCUUCCAUUGACAUCAGUGUGUUCGUGUACAUAAGCUUUACCAGUCUGAUAUAAACCACUCACAGAUUCUUUAGUCAACUCUGAUACCCCAAAUUCUUUACGCCAUUUCUGGAAGAAGAAAAAUUGAAAAACUUUGAAACAAUUCGCGGAUUGAAUGUAUAUCAUUGGAUUGGAUUUCGAUAGGAUACAAUCAUACGAUGGAUUUUCUUAAUUUGGUAAGAGCGUCAUCGACGGAAUACUUUCUAUCUUUCAAGAACCAACUGAUCAUUUCCUCGUCGUCUCGACCUUUCAGUCCGAGUGGAAGCUCGGGGUUCUCUUUCUCCAAUCUCGCUUUCACCUCCGCAACUAACUGGAAUCCAAUCAGAUAAUCCCGCAAAUAUUGGGGGUUUAUUAUCAUAGCAAAUCAGUGUCAGUGGUCAAUACUUACCUUGCUAUAGUUCACGUAGGGACUACCAUUGGAACUGGAAGAGCAUUUAAGACGGAGAAACUUUGUGGAUUUUUCGAGUGUGAAGACUUGGGAUGUAGAGAUGAGAGAGAUUCCGACGAGAUUCACGUGCUGCAGGAACAUUUUCGACUCGCUGUUUUUCCAUCAAGAGUUAGUUCGGGACCGAAAAAAAGAAUAAAAAUAAAUAUUUUUUUAUUUACUGAAAUAAUUAUUUUUAGAUACAGUAUUUUAGUUAGACUCUUGAUUUCAUCAUUCAAAGUCUGUUUUACAGAUUUAGACACCAGAUUGAAUUUUUUUUCUUCUAAUUCUCUUUUUUUUGUACAGAUUUUAUUCAAACGGAUAUUCCCCCGAGCCUAAAUUUAGGGUUGGUUUGGGUCCAAGAUAUUCCUUAAGGUCUCGGACCCACCCUGCACUCACCCGUAAAUGAGAUAGAUAAAAUCAAGAAGAUAUGAAAUCAGAAAAACAAGGAAUGUAAUGAGAUAGAUAAAUGAAACGAGAUAGAAGAAAAUGUAGGAAGGGGAAAAAUAACACAAAUACCAAACGACGAAGACGGACGAUAGAGGAUAGAAAUAAAUAAACACUAUCAUCAAAAAAUAGAAUGGAAGAAAUAGAACCAAAAAAUAUAGAAACCGAUAGUAAAAUAUUAGGAAGAAAAAAAAUGAAAUCGACAAUAAAAAAAAACCCAAAGAUCAAAAUUUAAACCCAAGCCCAAAAGCCCUAAAAUAUUCAACAUCUAAACCCAAAGAUUCAACAUUGAAAAUACCAACCCUUAAAAGAAUGAAACUUACUGGAAUCGAUGAUCAGAUGAGGCACGGCAAUCGGAAGGCAAAGCUUCAGAGGUGUAGAAGCACAGACGGUUUACGGAGAAAGAACGGCGAGGUAUGGUGACUGGAACGGGAACGCUCGACGAGGCACGGCGGAGCAAGAACGGCGAAAUCUAGAAAAAUAAAAACGGCAAAACGCGAAGAUGAAACUGGCGGAAAUUAAUUUUGGGUUUUAUAUAUCCGACCCGUCCCGACAAAUUGACGGGCGACGGGGCAAGUUCCUAAAAUCGGGGCGGGUCCAGGUUACCCUUGUUAAAACCAUAUGAUCUGAAGAAUGGUAUCUUUAUUAUAAAUAUUCAAAGUCAUAUUAUUUUUGAAAAUUUGCAGAGUAGAAAAUAAAUCCUUGUCUUUCCAAGGAUGCAAAUAUAAAAGAGCCAUAAAUAAAAUGAAAGUAUUAUAAUUUUAGGCAGAGGCAGUUUCUCUUCUCACUUACUCCAGUAACCUCUUCCACUGGUCGACGAUGGUGAUCGGAGGUUGUCAAACCAUCCCCAGGCUUCAGGAUUUUUGUGCACCGGUGACAUCAACUCUGGCCUUGGUGUGAAAGGUCCGGUAUUUCCUUUCCAUAUGUCCAAGCAUUGGAGUAAUGCAUCCUCCACCUUACCUUGUUCGAAAACCUCAUACACUUUCUCAAUGCAUUCACCUGGACUGAUCUUCUUCUCUCCGGUCAAUAUCUCCGUUUGAGCCACCUUCCUCACCAGAUCAUAUACACUUUUAGUCCGGCAUUUCCUGAUUCUGUUUCCGACCAUGUACACUCCUUUCUCGAUUUCUUCUCUAGCAACGGCGACGUCCUUCACCACUCUCUCCUUCAGAUCUUCUUCAAAGACUGUGAUCUUCUUGAACGCUGAGUAACCGACUUCUUCCUUGGAACUUUUUAGGGAUUCUUCGACGAGGACUUCCCGGAGUUGCAGGAGUAGUGCAUAGGAGGAGUUGGAUGGAUCGUCGAUGUAGGAGAAGACGGGCUGACAUUCGACUACCUGGAGAAGUUCCUUCUCACAAAAGCGAGUUCUUGCAAGAUCGGAAUCACCUUCCGACAUGUACAGUGUUUUCUUUAUGGAUUGAAGAAUAGAGUGUUUCACCACUUCCCUAAGAUUUUCCUCCAUCUGUCGGAGAUCGAUAGCUUGGCACAAUCCGACCAUAUAAGUGGAAGACAUCAGUUUUAGGAUCUCGAUUGCUUCCGCGCUUUUUCUCGCGGAGAUAAGACCCAAGGAGUUAACAUCUUGGUUGUGCUGUUCCGCACUUUGGACGUGGGUGGUGACGGGAUUUGCCAGAUACUGAAGCUCUGAGCAGUAGGAUGCCAUUGCAAUCUCCGCACCCUUCAAACCGUAGUCCAGACUGGGAUCCUUCCCUCCGGGGAGAUUGGAAGGUAGUCCGUUGUUGUAGUAGUCACAUACCAUUUCGGAGAAUUGGGCGAACAUGAGUUUCCCGAUAGCCGCAAGGGCGAUCCUGAUGUUGUCCAUGGAGACUCCGAUGGGUGUUCCUUGGAAGUUCCCGCCAUGGAGAGCGAUGUCACGGUCAACGUCAAUGAUUGGGUUGUCGUUGACAGAGUUGAUCUCUCUCUCGAUAGAGUGGGUCGCCAUCCGGAUAACCUCGAGUUGUGGGCCGAGCCAUUGUGGCGAUGUACGGAGGGCGUACCGGUCCUGUUUCGGCUUCGUCAAUGGCUCCCUUUCAUUUCUUGCCUUGGCUUCCUUCAUGAAGUCACUGCCGUCGAGGAUAAACUCCAUGAUCGCCGCGGCUUCGAUCUGGCCGGGAUGGUGCUUCAAAGCAUGUGUUAACGGAUCGGUGAACUCCGGUUUUCCUUGCAUUGCCUCGCAGAACAUAGCCGAGAGAAUCACUGCCAGGUACCCGAUGAUAUUAGCGUCGUAACAGACUGUUGCAGCAACGGCGGAGCCAACAGCAGUUCCAUUGACCAAAGCCAGACCUUCUUUGGCCUGGAGCUCGAAUGGGCCGUCAAUUCCGGCAUGUUUCAACGCUUCAAGCGAAGUGAGGACCUCACCUUCAGCAGUGACAGCACGUGAAUUAUGUCUUCCCGUGAGCAAUCCAGCGAUAUAUGAAAGCGGAACGAGAUCACCAGAGGCGGUGAUGGUGCCACGAAGCGGCAACUUAGGAAUGACAUUCUUGUUCAUGAGUUUCUCCAUGCCUUGCAAAACCUCCCAUCUGAUACCGGAGUAACCUUGCAUGAGAGUGUUGGUCCUGACCAACAUAGCUGCCUUGGAGUAACUCAACGGAAGAUGGUCCUUUCCGAUUACACCAGCGUUGAGAAACCGAAUGAGUUCCGCCUGAAGAUCGGAUGUCUUGUUGGUCCGACGGUGGGACGUGGAUCCAAACCCGGUGGUAACUCCAUAAGUAUCAGUACCACGCGCUAUAUUAUCUGAAACCCACGUUGCACUUCGAGAAACACGGGCACGCGCGGCAUCGGCGUCGAGGGUGACCCGGACAUCAGCACGUCGAGUAAUCGCUGCGACCUGGGCGACGGUGAGGGAGGUGCCUUCGAUAUUGACAGAUUGAGACUGGGAGAAUUGGGUUAUCAUCUGACGAACUUCGUCGAAAUGAUUUGAUUGAAUGGCCUCAGAGGCUUUCUUCCAAUGUUGAGCAGGAGCAUUCUCUGAAACGGCGGGCACUGUUAUGGACCGGAUCAUUGCUGAUUUGGUGGAAUUAGCCAUGGAUGGAUUAGUGAUCGAGCAAAAAUAAUAAAACUGAAUUAAGUAGUUUGCUUUGCUUCUCUAUCUUUGGUUUGGUACUCUGGUGGUGUAUAUAUACAUACAUGUAUGGUUGGUAAAUGGUAACUCUGGGAGGUGCUGCUAUAAUGCUAUGGCUGCCGGAAUAAUUGAAAGAAGCAGAUCGGUCUUCUUGGGUGGCUUAAGAAGAAGACAAGAAUGCGUUAAAAUAUCAAAUCAAUUAAUUAUGAUGAAUUGGGUCAAAUUUAAUCGACUCUUUAAAGACUGACACCACUUGGUCACAACUCACCAGGUACUCAAAAUUGACCAAUUGUUGAUAAUUGAACAAGAUCAAAUCUAACAAUGCAAUUAUUGAAAUUCUUCAACAUGCAAUUAUUUACCAUAAUUGAAUUAUUCAAAUUAAUAGUAUAUAUAGUUAAUUGUUUGUAAUAUUUGAUGACUUUUUCCAUUUUAAUAAAAUCAACUCCAACUGAAUACAACUAGUUGUAAAUUUCAACAUCAGUUAAUCUUAAAUCUAAUCAUGUAACUAGUUAUAAACUUAAACAUGCAAUUAAUUGUAAAUCUGAACAUAAGUAGUAAUUUGUAAAUUUAAAUAUGUAAUAAAUUGUAAAUCUGAACAUACAAUUAAUUAGUAAUUAUAAAUAUGAACAUAGUUAUAAAUCUAAACAUGGUAACUAGUUAAUUAUAAACUGAAAUGCAACUAUUUGAAAAUCAUAAACAUGCAAUUAGUUGUAAACUUAAAAAUCCUUAACAUGCAAUUAAUGGUAAAUAUGAAUAUAAAGGCAUGUGUCUUUUUGUAAAACAAAAAUAUAUCAAUAAUGAUUUAAAGAAAUAAUGUAUAAUUGUAAAACAUCAUUUAAUUAAAUAAGCAAUGUACGUAUUUGAGAGUGGAUAUAUAGAAGCUCAAAUGAUUGAAGGAAAUUGUGAUUCUUAUUGAUGUAAUUGUUCAUAUAUAUUUAUACAAUUGAAUUCCAAAGUUUUGUUACUAUAACCGAUUCAUUGUAACUGAAUCUGGUUUAACUAUUAGUUACAAACACGCCCCCUCGAACCGGGUGGGGUGACUUCGACCAGUUCAACCCGUAGUUCUAGAAAAGAUUUGGGCCAGAGGGAUUUUGUGAGUACAUCUGCCUUUUGAUCCUUUCCUGCAACGUGUUUUACCACCAAGGUCCCGUUUUCCGUCUUCUCCCGGACGAAGUGAAGAUCCAUCGCGACGUGUUUAAGUUUGUUGUGGCAUAUAGGAUUGUUGGCGAUAAAUGUAGCCCUUGGUUGUCACUUAGUACUUGAAUUGCGCAUGUUGACACCUAAUUCUAUCAGUAGUGACUUGAUUCCUUCUGUUUCUUCUACUGUUGACGCGAUUGCCUGAUACUCGGCUUCGGUGCUAGAGCGAGCUAAUGUAGUCUGUUUUCUUGACGAAUAAGUGUGUUUCCGAUGUAAAUUUACAUCCCGGUUUGGCUCUUGCGGUCCGUCGUAUCCCCCCCUAAUCGACGUCGCAAUAGCCAGUGAUAGUGAAAUCCUUUGCUUUGCGAAGUGCUAUCCCAAAAUUUUGGGUAUCGGAUAAGUAUCGUAAUACCUUCUUUAAUGUCGUUUGGUGUAGUGGAGUUGGUGCGCUCAUGAAUUGCGCCAGUUUGUUGACCGCGAACUGGAUAUCCGGUCAGGUCAGUGUUAGCUAGAUAUUGAAGCAAACCCACUACUUGCCUGUAUUCCUUUCCAUCAUUUACUGGAUCCUCUUCGGAUCGUAGAUCCUGAUUUGGUAACGUUGGAAUUGUAGAUGGUUUGAGAUUUGUUAGAUUAAGUUUGUUUAACAAGUUUAUUAAAUAUUGUUGUUGUGACAAAUAGAUCGUAUCCACCGUUCUUCGUACUUGGAUGCCUAAGAAAAAAUUCAGAACUCCCAAGUCUUUAACUGAAAAUUCAUUUGCCAAACUUCCAAUUACUUUUUUUCACCAACUCCUUAGAUGAAUCUGUAAUCACGAUGUUAUCCACAUAAGCAAAUAAUAAUAUAUUAUGGUUAUUUUUGUGCAUGAUGAAUAACGACGAGUCUGUGUAGCUUUUUCUGAACCCCAAAUUUAUUAGAAACUCUCGUAGCUGUCUGCACCACAUUCUUGGCGAUUGCUUUAACCCAUAUAAUGAUUUUUUCAGUAAACAGACAUGAUUAGGAUGAUCUUGAUCCUCAAAUCCUGCUGGUUGAAAGACCACUAUUCGUUCAUCGAGUUCUCCAUGUAGAAACACGUUGAAGAUGUCAAUCUGAUUUAGUUCUCAAUUGUAUGUUAUUGCUAGUAAUAAGACCACUCGGAUAGAGUUAGCCUUAACCACUGGACUAAACGUUUAGGUAUAGUCACUACCCUCAAUUUGUCGUAGACCGUUAGCCACCCAUCGAGUUUUAAAACGAUCUAUGGUACCAUCUUCUUUAUGUUUUACUUUAAAAAUCCAUUUUGUAUUGAUUACAUUGUCGUUGUUGUUUCGAGGAAUCAAUGACCAAGUACCAUUUUUUUUUAAUGCUUGAAAUUCAUCUUCCAUGGCUAUUUUCCACUUAGAGUGACAUAAGGCUGAUCUUACCAAUCUGGGAAUAAUUGUAUCGGUGGCUGCUGCAGACAGUGCGUAGAGAGGAUUUGGUUUAUAAAUCCCUUUUGUUGACCUUGUCAUCAUGCGUUGUGGAGCUUGUUCGGCCUCCUCUAUUGACUCGCUUGUUAUCUCCGUUGAUCUUUCGUCGGAGAUUGUUAUUUCGUUAUCUGAUGAUUCCGGCUCGUUUUCAUGUGGAGCCGGGUCGGGUUCAGUUGAGCUUUGUACCGGGUUCACACUUCUAAUCGGAUCCAUCCCUUCUUGAUUUGUUUGAGUACUCAGGUGCAUAAUGUUGAGGAUUGGCGGUGCCGUCAUGUCCACCUGUUCUGAGAAAUUUUCGUUCUUGUCCUUUCACAAUUUUUUAUUUAAAGAAAAAUCUUCUUCCAAGAAAAUAACAUCGGUUGAAGAAUACAAUCGGCAUGAUGAGGAUCGAAACAUAGAUAUCCUUCUUGUUUUUGAGGAUAACCAAAAAAGAUGCAUGGAGUAGAUUUAGGCUCUAAUUUAUUGCUUCGAUAAAGUCUAAGGCACGAGAAGCACUUUGAGCCGAAAACACCUAAAUUGCGAUUGUAUAAAAAUGUUGCUGUCAAGACUGAGUAAUCCCAAAACUCCAUAGGCAUAUUGGCUUGUUUGAUUAAUGUUAUUGUCGUAUCAACUAGGUGUCGGUGUCUCCGUUCUACGGAUCCCAUUUGAUGAUGACUGUGGGGGCAUGAAAACGAUGUUUGAUUCCAACUUGCUCGAGAGAGUUUGUUAAUUUUUUAAACUCUAAUGCAUUAUCAGUUUGGAUUUUCUUUAUUGGUCGACCUUUCUGGAGUUCUGCCCAUCUUUUAAAUUUUUGAAAAAUAUCACCUAUAUCAGAUUUUCGGACGACAGGAAAACCCCGAUUAAAACUGGUUGCACCAUCAACAAAAUUUACGUAAUACCGGUAUCCUUCUGAUGAUACUACCGGUGCCGACCUCCAAAUGUCCAUGUAAAUCAUUUCAAGUGGCUGUAAGUAUAAUGAGUUUGAAUUUUUGUGAUGUAUAACAUGACUUUUUGCAACAAUAUACAUGACUCACAAUCUGAAAUUUUUUGAAAAGAUAUUGAAAUAAGAUUUUUAUUAACUAGAUCUUUUAUUGCUCUAGUAUGUAAAUGACCAAGUCGUGCGUGCCAUCGGUCUCCCGUUACAGCUGAGAGUACCUCUUUAUUCCCGUCAAUUUCUAAAGGUAACCGGUAAAGUCCAUUUUCCUCACGUCCUUCAGCUAGAAUUCUUCUCGUGUCCGUGUCCCGUAUUUUGACACUCUGCUUGUCAAAUUCAACAUAAACCUCAUUAUCUGCACAUAACCUCUGGACAGAUAAUAAAUUUCUUGUAGCAGUUGGUACUAAAAGUAAAUCAUCCAGUAGUAGAUUAUUAUUGUUAAAUUUAGCCUUUGAUUUUCCAGAUUGUAAUAUAGGCAUAGACUCCCCAUUAGCGACUAUGAUCGAAGAAUUACCUUUGUAAGGGGAUGAAUUUUGAAUUAACAUAACUGCCCCAGUAAGAUGAGUGGUUGCCCCAGAGUCGGGGUACCAUAUAGACAUCACGCCACGAUUAAUUGCCAUAUUUGCCUCCGGUUGUGAAAAUGAUGGUAUGUGUUGGAAUUGAGAAAGUUAUUAAAACAAUCAAGCUUUCAAUUGUAUUAGCUUGAAUCACUAAAAACACUAUUUCAAAGAGAGAAGUUAAGUUUUCCAAUCGAUCCUUGUUUGUUUAUAUAAGUAUUAUGAUUAGUUAACAACUAUUAUAAAACUGAAUUAGUUUAUAACUAUAUUCUGUUUUCAACAUGCUCUCUCAAACCGACGAACAUGGUUGGACGAAUUUGGAUCUUAGUUGAAGGAAUGCCUUUGGCGGAAGCGGUUUAGUCAACGCGUCGGCCUUCUGUAGAUUACCUGAAAUGUGACUAACUUUUAUUAUUCCCAUCUCGGAUUUUUCCCUUACGAAAUGAAAGUCCAUAGCGACAUGCUUCAUUUUCUGUGACACACCGGGUUGUUGUCUAUAAAACUUGCCCCUUGAUUAUCACUUAGAAUUCCCAUUGGUAGUGGAACUUGGACUCCUAACUCAUAAUAAAGCUCUUAUUCCUUCCGUUUCUUCUACCGUUGUGGCCACCGCUCUAUAUUCAGCCUCCGUACUUGAUCGUGCUAGCGCCGUCUGCUUCUUCGAAGACCACACCACCAAGGUCCCGCCAACGUAUAUCAAGUAACCUGUAUGACUUUUUCGGUCUAAUAGAUCACCCCCAGUCUGCAUCACAUGCAGUAGCCUGAGAUGCUGAAAUCCUGAACCUUGUUUAACGUUAUUCCCAUAUUUACACUUCCCGACAGAUAUCUCAACAAUUUCUUCAUUGCAAUCCAGUGACCUGAUUCGGGUUUAUUAAGAAAUUGAGACAAUUUGUUUACCGCGUAUUGUAUGUCGGGUCGAGUUAGUGUAAGAUAUCGUAACGACCCGAUGACCCGCCUAUAUUCCCCUUCAUCUGCUAUUUCGUCAUCGUUAGCCGGAAAAUCCCCACGAGGUAACAUCGGCGUCGUUGAUGGUUUUGCGUUUAUGAGACCGCAACUUUCCAGCAGUCCUAACAAGUAUUGUCGUUGUGAUAGUCUCAAUCCUUCCUUUGUUCGAUAAACCUGUGUUCCAAGGAAGAAGCUUAAAUUCUCCAAUUCUUUGAUGGCAAAUUCUUCUCCGGUCUUGGUAAUCAUUGAUUGUAUGAUCCUUGAUGAUGAUCCUGUUACAACGAUAUCAUCAACUUACGAAAAUAAAAAUACUGUAUCACCCUUGUCGAUGUAUAUGAAUAAAGAUGGGUCUGAGUAACUUUCUUUAAACCCAAUUUUAAUCAAGAAAUCACGCAAUCUCCUAUACCACAUUCUCGGAGAUUGCUUUAAACUAUAUAAAGAUUUCUGCAAAAGACACGCGUAAUCCUGAUUUUCCUUGUCUUCAAAACCUGUUGGUUGUGUAACAAGAAUCUUCUCAUCCAAAUUUCCGUGUAGAAAAGCGUUCGAAACGUCGAUCUGCUUGAGCUCCCAAUCUUUGCUAAUUGCUGUUAGUAACACUAUUCUGAUUGAAUUGGCUUUGACUACGGGACUAAAAGUGUAAUUGUAAUCACUUCCUUGCACUUGUUUCAUCCCAUUAGCCACCCAUCUUGCCUUGUAGCGUUGAAUCGCUCCGUCCUCGCCUUGCUUUAUUUUGAACACCCAUUUGGUGUUAAUAACUCAUCACUUGGCGACUGUGGAACAAGCCUCCAGGUCUGAUUUCGAACAAGAACCUCAAAUUCAUCCUUCAUGGCCGACUUCCAGUGUGGUUGUGAUGAGGCUAUUUUAGCCGAUCUUGGUACCCUCCAUUGAUCAAUGGUAGUCAAUAACACGUAUUUUGGAUUUGGCUUAUAGACUCCCGUCUUUGACCUAGUAAUAAUUUUCUCUACUCGUGGUAGUAUCUCUUCUUCGGCGACGUCAAUAACUUCAUCCGGAACUGUAACUAUUAUAUUAUGUUCAUCCCAUUCUUUGUUCAAGUCAUUAGUUGUCGAAUUAGGUAUCGGAUAUUGAGUAUCAGAUUGGUGUUGAAUGUUAAAUAUAUUACCUUAUAUUUAAUGUAAUAUAUUAUGAUAUACGUAUAUUACGUUAUAGGUAAUAUAUUUAAUAUAUUACCUUAUAGAUAUUAUUAGCAUAUUGUAAUAUGGGACGGUUACUAUUGUAAGUGUAUAUAUAGUCAUGAAUAUAUAGCAUAAUAACCAUCUUUCAGUUAUUCUCCAAAACUACUAUAGUUCAUCUUCUUCCAUCCCUCAUCAUGGUCGGAACUAGUCAAUCCAUCUCUUCCAUGUUCUCAUCCUCCACUGCAAAUGUUGUUCCAAUCUCCAAUAUGGUAUCAGAUGCGUCGUCUGAUCCUAGGGCCACUCCGCUUCCAACAUUUUCGUUUCUCACCGGCCCUCAGACGCCGUCGGAACCCCAUCAUUUGGUUUGAUUCAGAGCUUCCUCCAUAUCAAGCUCACGGCGACAAACUAUCUUAUCUGGAAAAUACAAUUUACUCCGUUAAUAAAUUGCUUUGCUCUUCAACUAUUUAUUGAUCCGACAUCGCCGGCUCCAUCUCCUACGUCCCCAAAUUUUCAGACAUGGUGGCGCAAAGAUCAGCUCCUAGUGAGUUGGAUUGUGUCUUCUUUCUCGAAGGAAAUUAUCCCGUCAGUCUUGGGUCUCCCCUCGGCCGCGUCGAUCUGGAGCACGCUAGCCUCCUCGUUUGGUCGCCCGUCAGAGUCGCGGAUCCUCCAGUUGCAAAUGCAACUACAGAACACGCGACAUGAGGCGGAUGAAGACAUUUCGCGAUUUCUCCGCCGGGCGAAGCUGAUCGCUGACGAGCUCUCCGCUACGGGUGCGCCGAUUUCACUCCGGGUCUUCAACGCCUCCGUCUUCAACAACCUCUCCGUCGACUACUCACAGGUUGUUACCGCACUCGCCGUCCGCCAAAUACCGGUGCCGUUCGAUGAGCUACUGGAAAUCAUGACGAGUCAUGAAAUCCGGCACAAACUCCGGCAGCCGAUAGUCGUCGCCGCCAAUCACACUCAGGCGACGUCCAACACUUUUGACGCGUCCGUGAAGACGACGCGAUCUGGGAGCUUCGGUGGACGAUUUGGUGGAAAUCGCGGAAGAGGGAGGAGUGGAGGACGUGGUGGACGACCAGCUCGAUCGACCUAGGAGGGACCCAUGUCCAAUUUGUGGGCAAUUUGGUCAUAGCCCAUAUAAAUAUCACUAUAGGGUCCAGCCCAAUAGCACAAAUGAAGGCCACAAUCAAAAUGGGCAACACAACAAUUCCUUUGCUCCACCUCACGUGACACGUCAUCCAGCCACUCAUCACACAGCUGUCACUGAGUCACACUAUGAGCCUACUGAGUUGGAAUCCGAAAAUGCCACGUCAGCAUGGUAUCCCGAUACAGGGGUCACUCACCAUUUCACCCCAUAUAUUCAAUCAAUAAGUGCACCACAACAAUAUCAUGGGCCUGGAUCAGCCCAGUUAGGUAAUGGGACCAAAUUAUCUAUAGCUCAUGUGGGAAAUGGUAAAAUUGCAUGUGGAACCUCAUCUCUUUUUCUCAAGGAUAUUUUGCAUGUUCCAUCCUUGAAUACGGCAUUAUUAUUUAUUUAUCAAUGUUGUAGAGAUAAUAAUUGUUAUUUCAUUUUUGAUAAAUCUUGUGUUUUUGUAAAGGACCAGGCUACACACAGGGUGCUAGCUCAAGGGGCUUAUAAUGGUCACCUUUACAAAAUCGUGCCAUCUCUUGCAUCGCCUCCGUCAGCGUCUCUUCAUUCCACCCAGGCUUUCAUUGAUCUCUGGCAUCAAAGGCUGGGUCAUCCUCAUUAGUCCAUUGUUCGACAUAUUGUUUUUUCUAAUAAAUUACCAUCAUCAUCUUUGAAAUUUAAUCAUUGUAGCUCUUGUGUGCUUGGCAAAGCUAGUCGGAUACACCUUCCAUCUACAUUUUCUAAGUGUUAUUUUCCUUUGGAGAUGAUACAUAGUGAUGUUUGGGGGCCGGCUCCUAUGUCAUCAACGGAAGGUCAUCGUUUCUUUGUUUUCUUUCUUGACGACUUUUCUAGAUAUAUUUGGUUAUUUCCUAUGAAACAUAAAUCUGAGGUUGCGAUGAUUUUUAAAAAUUUCCACAUUAUGAUUGUAAAACAAAUUGGUCAUAAAAUUAAAUCUUUUCAAUCUGAUUUUGGUGGAGAAUUCCAGACACUUUUUUCAUAUUUUGUGUCUCAGGGCAUUUAUCAUAGAAAAUCAUGACCUCACACCCAUGAACAAAGUAAAACCGCAGAGCGGAAAAUUCGGCAUAUUGUGGACACCGGAUUAACACUUCUCGUUCAUGGUAAAGUUCCCCUCCAUUUCUGGAACUUUGCAUUUUUGACAUCAGUUUUUACCAUAAAUCAUAUACCUUUUAAAACUCAUGGUAUUGCUCCUAUUCAAAACUCUUUAAUACAUGUCCUAGACUCACUUUUCUCAAGGUUUUUGGUUGUGAAGCAUUCCCUUUGUUACGACUCUACAACAAAAAUAAGUUCUCAUUCCGGUCCAUUUUGUGCGUCUUUCUUGGAUAUAGCCCAUCUCACAUGGGUUAUCAAAAAUCACAAAUACUAUAUAUCUCGUCAUUGUUCGUUUUUCGAGGACUCUUUUCCAUUUGCUAACUUGCAGGGGUCUAAUAAUAAAAUUCAACAAGAAGCAAGUCCUUGGGGAAUUCUUUCAUCCUUUUCGGACCCGGUCAAGUUAAAUCGGCCCAAUCCGGAAUUGUCAAAUUUACCCCAAAUCACUUCCACUUCAAGUUCAGUCCGUUCCCCAUUCAUAUUACGUUAUAGGUAAUAUAUUUAAUAUAUUACCUUAUAGAUAUUAUUAGCAUAUUGUACUAUGGGACGGUUACUAUUGUAAGUGUAUAUAUAAUCAUGAAUAUAUAGCAUAAUAACCAUCUUUUGGUUAUUCCCCAAAACUACUAUAGUUCAUCUUCUUCCAUCCCUCAUCAUGACCGGAACUAGCCAAUCCAUCUUUUCCAUGUUCUCAUCCUCCACUGCAAAUGUUGUUCCAAUCUCCAAUAAUUGGAUCCUGCACGUUGAAAAUUGGAUCAUGACAAAUCGGAUCUUGUUGAUAAAGAGAUAGCUCCGUAUUAGUAUUCCGUUAACUCUGUGAGCUGACAUCCAGAAUUUCCAGAUCAUCUGAAUAUAGGUCGGACUCUCGAUUCUUUGCCGAUGAUUGGACUCCUUGCGAUGUCAAACUUGAACUUAAAGAAAAAUCUUCCUCCAAGAAUCAAACGUUCUUGGAUAUGUACAUUUUCUUUCCGUUGGGAUCAAAACACAUGUACCCAUCAUGCUGUUGAGGGUACCCAAUAAAAAUGCAUUCAACCGAUCUAUUCUCUAGCUUAUUCGUCGGUGAUGACGUAGACAAGGGAAGCACCGGCAGCCAAAGACUCUAAGUUUCCCGUAAUCCGGAGCCAAAGCACCGGUGAGAUUCCUUAAAGAAUUCGGCUGAGGACUGCAUAUUCCCAAAAAGUUUUGGGUAACCCAACAAGAUGAAUCACUGUAAGAGUUGUGUCGAUCAAGUGUCGAUGUCGUCGUUCAACCGACCCCAUUUGCGGGUGAUCAUAAGGACAUGAGAAGCGAUGAGUUAUUCCGAAAUCCUCGAGUUUCUUGGUCAGACUUUGGUAUUCCUUUGCAUUGUCGGUUUGCAAAGAUAAUAUUCGAAGUCCAAUUUGUUGUUCAAUCCAUACCUUGAAUUUUAAAAAUAUUUGUCACUUCUGAUUUUCUUUUCAUCAUAAAAAUCCAAUUAAAGUUUGUUGUGGCGUCAACGAAAUUCACAUAAAACCUACUAUCAUUUACUGAAUUUAUAGGUGUUGGACUCCAAAUAUCCGAGAAUAUCAAUUGUAAAGGGAGAUAAGAAGUGUCACUGCUUUUACGAGGAAGAUUAUGUGAUUUUUGUAUUAGACAUGAUUUACAUUCAGAUAUCUCUUUACAAUCUGAAACAGAUGAAAUUACAGAAUCUUUGAUUAAUUUCUUAACACUUUGUUUAUUGAGAUGCCCCAUUCUUGCAUGUCAUAAUCUUCCUUCAACCGCCUCGGCUGUUAAUGCCUGAAGACUUUUAUUCUUUUCCAACUUUAUUUGAUAUAAUCCGUCCUUUGCUCUACCCUUUGCUAGUAUUUCAUUAGUUAGCAGAUCGCGGACCUCCACUUUCUGUUUGUCAAAUUGUACGUAUACUUUAUUGUCAUUACAUAAUUGUUGUACAGAUAAAAGAUUUCUUGAUGCUUCAGAAACUAAUAGAAUUUCUUUAAGAAUUAAAUCAGAAGCAAUUGAUUUACCAAUUUGAGUAAUUUUCAUGGAUUCCCCGUUUGCCGUAAGGACUGAUUCUGUUCCUAAAUAACUUUUAAUAUUAUCAAUAUUCUCACCUGUGUUGGUUAUAUGGCAGUAGCAACGGUAUGGCGGUAUCUGGAUACCAAAUUGUAGAGGCUGACCCGGUGACAAUGUUGGCUUGGGGUGUGGUCGGAGUUGUGUUCAAGCCUAUAAGAACCAAACGUCUCGUGUGAGAGACUGAAGGAAAUCUUUGAAAAUUAACUCGAUGAUAAUAAUCUCUAUCUUCAUGUCCCUUCCUUCAAGCAAAUUUGACAUGGAUUGUUUGCGUCAUUCUUGGUUUUAAACGCCACAUUCGUUUCGUUUUUCACCGGUGUUUGGAUGAACUGAAGCUCGUCAUCCAUCAAAAGAUUCUUUAGCCGUGCAAAAGUCAUCGUGGGAUAAAACCUUGUUGUGAUCGACGUAACAAAAGGUUGAUAGUUAGAAUUUAAACCACCCAAUGUGAUUAAGAUGAUUUGUGAAUCCUUAAUCAUUUCUCCUGCCGCCACCAGCCUGUCUUUCGCUAUUGAGAUCUUCUUGAGGUAUUCUGCCAUGGUUGAAUCGUUCUUCUUGAUAUUUUGUAAUUGAAAACGAAGAUGUAACACCCUUGUUUAUGAAUCUGAAGAAUACAACUCGUUCAAACAUUUCCAUACUUCUGCAGAAGUUGUUAGUGCCGAAACUUGCGGUAAUAUUGACGACGAGAGCGACGUCAAGAUGAGCUGGUCCUGUUGUUCAGCAACGGAUCCCAGAGUGAGCUCCUUUAUGCCGUCGACGUAAUCAAUAAGCUGAUAGCCUCGAAGUACAGCAGAAAAUUGUGCUUUCCAACUGAGAAAAUUUUCUUCCUCCAGUGUUAUGCAUUUGAUCUGCUUCAUGAUAAUCUUUUCUCUUUUUCGAGAUCCAGAUAGAUAUGCAACGGAAUUUGGAUCUUGAGCCGAGGAAGAAGAAGCCCCCCCACCUUGUGAUGAUGCCAUGUUGGAAUUGAAAAAGUUAUCAAAACAAUCAAGCUUUCAAUUGUAUUAGCUUGAAUCACUAAAAACUCUAUUUCAAAAAGAGACGUUAAGUUUUCCAAUCGAUCCUUGUUUGUUUAUAUAGGUAUUAUGAUUAGUUAACAACUAUUAUAAAACUGAAUUAGUUUAUAACUAUAUUCUGUUUUCAACAGUAUGUUUAUUGGUAUUAAAUUUUGGUUGUGCUUUGGAAGGUACCGAACGAAAUUUACCCGAUUAUAACAAUUUAGGGCUACAUGCCCUUUCUUCAAACAGAUUUGACAAGGGUGAUUUCUUGCCGAAAAAUCUGAUUUUGCGUGAUCUUGAUGAGAUUUUGUUGCGAUAUUGACUUCAAUUGACGCCGGUGCCGAUACGAUUUGCAUUUCGUGAUCGACCAGCAGCUGUUGAGAAAAAAGGAAUUAAUUUUGGGGGAAAAAAUUACCCUCUUUUUUUCAAGAAAAAGAAAAUCAAUUGAGUUGAUCAGUCAACUGAUACCAUAUUAAAGUUGAUCAAAACUCUAAUUGAAUUUCAAAUGAAUGAUUAAUUUUAUUAACAACAAAUGAGUGUAUUGCAACAGUAUUUAUAGAAUAUCUGUGACUGACACAAUUAUCAAUUGAACCAAAGUAAUUAUUCAUUAUUACUAACUAACUCAAUCCUAAUUAGUAUAACAUGACAGUUAUUAGUUAUAGAGUUAAUUACAAUCUAAAUUAAAUGAAACAAACCCUGAUCUUUUUUUUAUCUAAACCCUAAAGCUCGAACUUUUGAUAAAAAUAUCGUAAUUGAAGAAAUUCCAAAUCAUGGCUUGGUAAUGGCCAAAUAAAGAUAUACGAACAAUAAUUUCAUUAAAUUAGAUAAAAAUGGGGAUGGCAUUGGCAUAAGAAUAGCACUAUUUCGAUUUCCAUUUCAAAUCACCAUACAAACACAUCAUUUGUUACAUGAAGAGAAAAAGGGAAUUGCUUUCAACUUAUCCUAGGGUUGCAUGCUAUUCACCACAGUUUUUGUUCUCAGAAGUUGGCAUUCCAGCUAGGUUGACCAAGUUGAGGUUGCUGGUAAGAUCCAAUUUGUGUAGAUGGAGUGGUCAUACCGAUCCCAACAUUCCCACCAACGCCAGAUGGGUGUUGCUGAUGAACCAGGUGAUGGGCGUUAGCAAUAUUUGGUUGUUGUGCUGCUUGGUAUAAACCCUGAUGGAAUAUAUGGGGUGUCUGUUGAGCAUUAAAAGAAGCAUGGUUGCCGUGACUUGGCAUGAAACUGGCAUGCGGCAAUUGUCCUGGUAUAUUAAAGUAGGGAGCUGAUUGCAUGCCUAGAAGAUCCCUUGGACUUUGGACCCAUAUUUCAGGUGUCUCUGUCUAAAAGAAUAAAAGCAGAAGAAAAAUUAUCAUCUUUAAAAGAAGACGUAAGCUGUGAAUCACUGAACCAUGAUUAAAAAAUCAUACCUGAGCAUUUUGGACAAAAAAAUUGCUGUCUUUGUACUUAAUCAUGUUGGCAUCAUCAAGAUUAGACGUAGCACCACUGAUAGAAUAGGCAGCAGGAUUUGUGUAAUUCCCAUAACUAAUGUUACUACUAGAAGGAACAGGUUUGUACUUAAUACCAGCAGCAUUUAAUUGAGAACCACCCCCUGGCAUCAGCACAUAACUACUUACAUUUGACGGAUGAGGGUAAGCAGGAUUGUUUGAGUAAUUAGGAACAGCCAUUUGUGGAACAUACAUCGGUGGGAUAAAUUGUCGAUAAGGAAGAUAAUUAGGGAAUUGUGGAAAUUGCAUUUGUGGAUAGAGUUGUGCCACUUGUUGAUGUUGUGGUAGUUGCUGUUGCUGUACCAUGGCUACAGUGGAAGAUGGGUUGUUUGUCUCAUGCAGGUUGAGUGCCUGUCACAAAUAAGAAAAAACAAUAUUAAAAAAAAAACAAUAUUAAAAAAAAACAAUAUAAAAGUAGAUUUCAGGUGGUGUUGCAAAGGGAAAUUUAAGUUAAAAAUUUAUGGCAUCUUCUUCUGCCUUUUUUAUUAAGCAUUACGAGAUUCUUUUUUCUGUCAGUUAAUGUUUUUUCUUUGGAUGUCCUCUUGAGUCUUCAAUAUAGACUAUUGGAAAUCCGGAAUCAGAAAUCAUGACAACAAUACCUCAUACGGUGAAGUUAAUGCCUGGACUCGAACAUCAUCUGCAACUGAAUCUUUAAAGAAUGCCAAAUCAAAACUAUUUUUUGUGCCAUAUUCCUUCAAUCAAAUAUAGAGAAAGUUUAGAUAAUUUCUCAGUACAGUAUAAACCCAAAACAUAUUUGACACCAAUGAAUUUCAAAAACAAUAAUAGCAUCCUUUAAUCAAAAUAUGGAGAAAGUUUAGAUGAUUUCUCAGUACAGUUAAAAACCCAAAACAUAUUUCACAAUCCACACCAAUGCAUUUCAAAAACAAUAAUAAAGCCAUGAUUUACAAACUGUCUGCAAUAAUUUGAAACAAGCGAUUUACGAUAAUUAUAACAAGAAAUGAAUGGCUUACAGAGGUAAAUCAAUAAACCAACAAUAUUAUAUUGCAAAUAACAAAGAGGAAAAGAAAAGAGUUUUUUUUUAACUCACAGAAAAACUUGGCAGAUUGGGUUGACUUUGUGACUGGUGUUUAUUUUGAGGACUACGUGAGUGUGAUAAACUGGUUCUAUCUAGUAAUCCAACUUGUGUAUAAUUCUCUGAAUUUAGAAUUCUUAAAUUUUUAGCAGUUUCAGAUGAAGAUUCUUCUGAUGCUGGGUUAUCUGAUUGAGAUUUUCUCAAAUGGCUAUCUGUGAAAAUCACCUUAUCUCCAGCUGGAACAUCUUUAACUGACAAUACAGGUAUUGAUGCUGAUAUACUGGUAUCAGAUAAUAACAAAGUCAGCUUCAGAAAAAGAAAAAAAAGAACAGAUAAACAAUGAUGGCUCUAAUACAAAAUGUAAAUGAAUCUGACUAAUACCCUAUAGUCUAUACCAUAUAUUAUAUAACAAUGGCUGCAAAUACAAAGAAUAUCACACGAUCUUUCUUAGAGGACAGGUAAAAAUAAAAGUAAAGUUAUAUAUAAGUCGAAACGCUAUCGAACUAAAACUAAAUGCAUAAAGACACAAAUUAUUAUGUUUAAGAUGGAAAUUACCAGGCCCAUUAUAGCAUUUUCUAUUCCACAAAAUUAGGUAUAUUAAAGCAAUUAUAAUGAACCAUGACACAACAUGUAGAAUUUUGAUUUACUUGACUAUAUCAAGCAGUAUAUUGAAUCUGUACAAUCUAAUGAAAAAGGUGAUAUUAGAUAAAAUCAUUAAAAAAUAGAGAAUGAAAUGGAAAGCCAUCUAAAAUAGCUAUAUUGAUCCUUUAUCCAUGUAACAAAACUCGUGACUACGUGAUAUAGAAGUAUGACUGUUGAAAGAAACUUAUGAAGACGAUCUUUUAUGCAUAAACAUCAAUGACUAAAAUUAAAAAUAUGAAAAGAAUGAAAAACCUUAUUGGUGCUUCGGACAUGAAAUCUUUCGGAGAAUUGAUCCCAUCUUCAAAACUACCAAAUGUCAGGUUGAACUUAUCUUCCUCUGGUACUCUAAGAUGUUGAGGUAUGACUACAUGCUUGUUAGCAUUAACGCUAACUUGUGAGAGAUUAUCGGACAGAGAAGUAACUUGAACCUUUAAACUAGAAGAAAGCUCGUCGAGUGCUGCAGAAGGUGAUGUGGUUGAGUCAAUAACUUGGGAAGAAAUAGUAUUUGUCUUUUUACUUAGCUUUGGUUUCCACUCCAUAUUGGAUUGUGUUACUACAAAAAAUAAAAACAAACAAAGAAUCAGCAUGCCAACUUACUUUUUGGAUGAGAUAUAAUUCCACUAUAAUAGCAAUAAAAAAUUAUCUUUAAAUAAUACCUUUUUGAUGGCCAACAGAUUGUUGAUACUGUCUGCUACUAUAUUGCGUUGGAGAAAAAGAUCUUCUAGAAGAAGCACUGGUCGGUAGAGCUUCUGAUCCAGAAUUUUGAAUGACUUGAAUAUUCUUUGAUAAAGGAGGGGCUUUUCCAAUGGUGUCUGAAUGUACAGGUACAUCAAUAUCCUUUGCUCCAGUUGCAGGUGCAGUAUUUGAAAUAUUUGGAACACUUGACUGUGAAAUUGAAUGGUCAGAAGGAGGAUGACGAACACCUACCACACCAACAAUUCCUGCUGCACGAGAAUCUAGAGAAGGGAUGUGAACUGGAUCUGAAGAAGAAGAAUAUAUUCCAAUGACAGAUGUGGGUUUUGAAGUUGCAAAUUGCAUAUCAGACUUCUGUAAAGCUAUUUUUUUUAUCAAUCCUGAAUUUGACACUGUCGCCUGCGAUCCUCUCAGUUGCAAAGAAGAUCUUGUGGAAUUUGAAAAUUGACUAUUACCAUGAGGACCAGUGGAACCAAUUGCCUGCAAUUUUGAGUUCCUGACAGUUAGAAAACUUUGAUCAGUACACUUUAUUGAAAGAUGAAAGAUAUUUGAGCUUGUAAUUUUUUUAAAGAAUACAAUCGUAAAAUUGCAUGAAUAACACCUUGCUAUGAACAAACAAGAGUAGUGAAAAUGACAUAAUCAAACUUCAAUUCUUAUUUCAUUGCAUUAGGCAUAAUAUAUUGAAGUUUAAAUAAAAUUCUACUUUCCUAAUGCACUACGUAAAUAACAAAAAACACCAGAGUAUAGCCGCAUAUUAAUUAAUUACAUUUUACCUAAUUUACUUAAAACCAUUAAUAUGUAUUGCUGUUUUUUUAUGAAAGUAAAAUUCCAUUAGACAUGAAAGGGGUUUUGCCCACGAUUACAGAUAUAAACAGAAUGAAAGGGGCGAACCCCAGCAAUGGAGGAUUCACUGAAAGUGGGAGAGGAUGGGCUCUCUAGGAAUCAUCCAUCUUUUUCCUUUAAUGCAGAGCUCUAGUAUUUAUAUACAAGAAUUUAGAAUAGAAGUGGAUUGAAAAACAAUAUUUUACAAGUAAUUGCAGCUCUAAUUGCAAAAAAAAGACAUUCUUAACAGCAAUCAAAAAUAAAUAUUACAACAAUAUAGAAAAUAAUUUUAUAGUUAUGUAUUUUCUGUUUCUUUUAUUUAUAUUUUCAUAUAAGUAGUUGUACAGAAAAACAUCAUGCACCUCUUUUCUGCAACAUAUGAAGAGGCCUGCUCACUUUGAGAUGUAUUUUGCUCAACGGAUUGUUUUACUCUGUUGUCCCUGACAACACGAAACUGACGGUUGAUUCCUGCAUCUGGUGCAAAUUUAUUAAAAAUUAAAAUAGUGCCUAAUUAUUUAUUUAUUUAUUUUUGACGAAUUAAAGUUUUCAUUACUGAAAAUAGAGUUGGGCAAUGCCCGAGAUUACAAAUGUAGGAAAAUGCAAAUACAUAAGAUGUAAGUAUAAAUAAAAACAUGUAAAAGCAUUGUAGCUCUCUUAUACAUUUGUGACCAUGGCUAACUAGUCAAGGACUGGUACCUCAAAAGGUUGGACUCCCAUAAACUUAUGGCUUGAUUUUCAAUCUGUGUAAGAUUGAACUUCUUAUAGGUUGUGAUACCAUAAGUGAUGCUCACAUACCUAAUGAUUUCUCUGCUUACAAUUUCUGGAGGCCUCAUUGUAUGUUGUUUCCCUUUAUCACCAUAUGUGCCAGAAGAGUGAGGCUAACACCAGCCAAUGCAAACCCCAACAACUAGCUCUGUAAGCGAGUUUUUAAAUUGUUUAAAUAAUGUGCCCUAUUCUAAUGUCUACUGAGGGAGAGGGAGGGUUUGACCCCUUAGUGACCAUAUAGCAUUAUUGAGGAUUUUAGGCAACCAAUGGAAUCUAGUAAAAGAAGCUUGGAGUAUUGGCAGUUGAAAAGGUAUUGCAUUGUCUCUUCCUCCAGCCCACAUAGAGGGCAGGUAGUUUGUAGUUGGAUUCCCCAAGUAUUGUGCCUAGUGAGGGUGUUAAGACUUUUAACUUUAAUUCUCCAUAAAAACAUGGAGAAUUUAAGGGGCAUUUUGGAUCAUAUUCCAGAGUUCAGAUCUUGAAUAAUACCCUUGGGUCUUAGUUUUUCUAAGUGUUUGGAGGGAGCUAUUUGAAGGAUCUUAUAGUUGCUCAGACAGUUAUUGCACUUAUUUAUUAUUUUAUUUACGUUCUAUAAAUAAGAUCAACUCCAAAGUACUUUGGUGGUAUAGACAAUUGAUGGUAAACAUAAGCUAGUAUGAUACAAAUGCAAAAUAAGUAUAUUACAAAUAAUUUUCAUUAUUUUGUGGUCAGUUUAAUUUGAGUUACAUAACAAGAGUGGGUGAUCCUGUUAGGACUUAGGAAAACUCCACUCACUGGAGAUUGGAAAUUCACCCCAAGUAAGGAUACUAUGAGAGAAGCAAUAUAACACUAUCAAGGACUCAAGGUUGAAUUGGGGGUGGGUUUUUCACAGAGAAAGAUGGAAAAGUCAUACCAAAGACACAACUUGGUUUUUUAUCCUCCCACCACCUUAAUUGCACUCUGUAGAGAUAUCGAGAUAUGAGGCAAAGGCUUUGCCACAGUAGGAAUUCAUUGGGAUUGACUUCCUAGUUCCUACACUCUGGUUCAAAAAAGAAAGGGUGGAGGAGUGACUAGUGAGUGGAUGGACUUAGUGGAAUGUGGUAGGAUAUUAGUGAGGGAGAGGGUGUUUCUAUUUGGACUUAGUGGACUGUGGUGGUUUGAAUUAUCAUACUGGAAUAAAUCAUUAUCGAAACAUGCUGGACUCUCUGGAAUCACCUCCUUCAUACCUACCAUGUUAAACUCAUUACAUACCUUAGACACACUAGGCUCCAUGUUUUCAAUGUGGAAAUCUAUACGGGUAUCAGGCCUUUCUUUCUCCUCUUCAGAUUCAGUGGGGGUGAGAUCCUUCCAACUGUCAAUAACUGUAUUUUGAUCCUUGCAACUGUAUUCAGAUUCUUUGGAGACCAUUACAUUGAGCAUGGUUUGCGUUUUCUAAAUAUUUGCAUUAUGAUUAUGUAUGCAGUUCAUGUAAUGAAGUAAAAUAUGGACUUUCCUAAUUUUUCUUAACUUUAUAUUAUUUAAUUCAUUUUUACUUAUUUUAUAAAUUUAUAUAAAUUAAAUAAAAAAAUAAACCAAAACAUGUGCAGAUCUUAGUAAAAAACUAAAAAUAUUACCAGUUCUUGUAUUUUGAGAAAAACUUCCCCGGCGAUAAUUGUUAAAGCUCUUCUCUAGAGUUUUUUGCAUUGGCAAGGACUUUUCUAGAAAAUAAUCUGGAUCAACAGAUUCCUUACAAUUUGCAAUCUGAAAUAUAGAGAGCCCGUCAUAUCUUUUAGGUUAAAUGUAUAGAUUUGAAAAUACCGAAAGAAAGGAAGAAAAAAAUCAGAAAAAGAGAAGGAUAAAUGGGGAUCGCAAAAUAUAUCAAAUAUUCUAUUGGCAAUUUAAUAUGCAGAGUAAAUAUCAAUUAUUUUCUAAAGCAUAAAUAAUGAAUUGUUUAUAAAUAUUUAUAAAGAUCCCAUGAUUUAAUCCAUAACACAUUAACACCCAGAUUUUUAUCGCAAACUAAAAUAUCAUAAACAUAGAUUUAGAUAAAAUAGGGUAAUUUAAAAUAAAAAAAUAAGUGAUGCAUAAUCGGCCAUUGAAUUUUAAUUUUUAACAAACCAAUUUUAACAAAACUUAUAAAUAUCUGUUAACUUUGCAUAUGAUAGAAAUCCCAAACGAAGUAAUCAUAAUAAAUAUUCAAAAAAUACAGCAUAAUAUUACUAGAGUGAGUGAUAAUCAUUAGAAAUAGUAGAAUACCUCUUUUUUAUCACGUUUUCUCCUAACCUCGUGAAAUGGAUCUGUUUGUUAGAAAACAAAAGUAUAUAUCAAAUGUUUGAAUAAAAUUGGAGGCAAGACUGAGAUUCAAAAAAUUCUCUCUAUCUCGAAUAAUGUGGUUUUAAGAAAAUAAUUAAAAAAGAAUAUGAAUCAUCCUUAGAUGGUGAAUGGGGGAUUUCCAAUUUUAUUUACAGCUUGAGAGUAUUUGGAUUAAACGACAAAAUUAGCAGCAUUUACUGCAGUAACUGGAUGAAAUAUCAUAUAUAUAUAUAUAUAUUUAAAAUAAGCUAAACAAUUAAAUAACUCGCAUGAUAGACUGAGACUAACUAAUCAGAUACUAAGGGGGAAAACUCAUAACUAGCACCGCUAACUAAGAAAAAUGACACAUUUAAGGGGGGACAAAAACGAGUGUUACGUUUUCGAAAAAAAUACAGAGAAACGUAGCCAAUAACGAAGACAUAGUUUAAAGAGAGAGACAUUAAUGAUCCGAACAUACUAACCUUGAUUAAGAAGUUUGGCUGCAGCUUCGUUGGGAUCCAUACCAGCUUCCUUUAGCGCGGUGUAAAUCUCAGCUUCGGAGUGGUUCCCAACGAUCUCCUUGAUAGACCGUAUUGUAUUCUUUGUUCGCAGGUUAAGCACCGUUCCACUACCACCAGUUCCUCCUCUGCCGCCGCCAACUCCUCCUCUCCCACCGCCAGACCUUGACCAUGAUCCCAUAUUCUCCACCAGACGGGAACGCAAGUCUGGGAUUCUUCUUCGAAAAGAUGAAGGCAACCAGGAACAAAAACCCUAACCCUAGAAGAUGGAAAGAUUUGAGUUUGGGUUUUUUUUUAUCUUUGUACUGUGUGACAUGUAACUAAGGAAGUACAUGUGAUGAUUGGAAUCCCCAAAAUCAAAGGACCGCGCUUUACUUGGUUAAAUUUCAAUCAGCCUCCUUUAGUUUAAAUAUUUCUCUCCCUAGAAAUUACAACUUACAAUAAACUCUAUAUUAUUUUACUUUACCAUAACCCAAAUCUUAGUAAAAAUUAGAUGAAAAUUACAUUACCGAAAUUAAAACCUAAAAUCGUCAACAAAUUUGAUAGUUAUUGUGACCAGUUUAAAAAAAUAUAAACACCGAAGUAGAUUAAUUAACAUUAGGUUAAUUAAUGACAUGAUAAUUGUUUUCUCUAACAUUAUUUAGUCUUGCAUAAUAUUGUAUUUGACAAGGUUAUGUUAGCAAUUGUUUCAAUGAAAGUUUAUUGGAUUAAUUAUAAAUGAGGCCCAGAAAGAUAAUGAUGGAUCGAAAUGUAUUAGUCUCAGUAAAUAGCUAAAUACAAUGUAAUAGGCUGAUAAACAAAUAAAACCUAAAUAUAAAUAUUAUAAAUACUUGAACAUACCAAUGUAAUAUAUUUUAAUUAAUGAGAUUAAAACGUUUUAACCUAAGAGUAUCAAUCUUAAUGACAGAGAGGCUAUAUUAAUAGCUAGAAGGUUGAGUUAUUCUUAUUGCCCCUAAAAACUAGGUCGACGGAGAAAUGAGCGUUAACGAUCUUCGAUCGGUCUUCUCUAGUUAAUCGCCGUCAUUCGACAGUUCUGCGGGUGCUUUUCUUUAAGGAGUGUUUGAGUAACGGGGUGUCAGUAGAGAGGCUAAGGAGGGAGCAACACAUCGGGAAACGUGAUUUUACUAUCGUUGGAAUUAAUUUACCUUUUCUAGUUACGAUGAACGCAAGGGAUCAAGCUUAUACAUGGGUUUCAAUCGCUAAUCACAGACCAAUAAGGAACUUGAGCUUCAUCCAACCUACACUCAUCAACAACCAACCUCAUGCGAGAAUUGAAAAAUCACAACUGGAGGAGGUUACGAAGAAAUUUACAAUUUUACUGAGGGUGGUAGGAAUAAAUCCUUCGCUUGCCAAACUGAAAGAUUUCAUAACAAAGAAGUAGGGACUGAAAGAGACUAGAGAUUACAAAGUGGUGAUACUGGAAGGGAUCGGGUUUAAAGUUACGGUUCAGAAUGAAAGAAAUUUUGAAAAAGUUCUUAGGAAGGAGUGGCUCUGGAUGGAAUCGGGGAUUAUGUUGGCUCAAGAAUGGAAACCAUCACUAGAUUUUAGGAAUGAGUCUUUAUCGACAAUCCCGAUUUGGGCUACUCUAUCUGCUCUGAAUGAGAAAUUCUGGAAUGCGGGAAUCAUCGUAAGAAUUGCUAGCACCCUAGGCACACCUCUAAAUGGCAGAUUUGCGAUCAAAGAUGAUCAGACGAUUGUCCAACUAGUGGUGGUAGUGGAUGUUGCCUUUAAAUUUUCCGGAAGUACGAAAAUAAUAAUAGAUGGACAGAACGGUCAAGUGACGGAGGAAAUUGCUAUGUUCACCUUGAACUCUAAACUGCGUUUAGUAAAAUCUUCUACCAAGUUAUGGCUACAGGGGCAGACUUCAUUGAAAAACCAAAUCGAAUCUAUAAGGAAAUCAAUAGGGGUGAAUGUGUUGAGUUUAACGGAAGAUCCAGAUAAUCACGAGUUACAACAAAAGUUGGUUGAAGAAAAAUUAAUACUUCGGGAUCUGCUUGAAAGGGAGGAACUGGAGCAUAGGCAAUGUUCAAGAGUGAAUUGGCUGAAGUUGGGUGACUCUAACACUCGAUUUUUUAGCCAAAAAACCAAGGACCGAAGGGAAUUCUAUGUUGUGUGGCGAGACAUGCCUGAUUACGUCAGUCACUCUCAGCAACGCCCUUCAACAAGGACUAGGGUUCCGUCGCUUUAUACCGGACCCCCGGAGACUUCCACGGUGCGGAGCAAGUGUCUACGUCAAGUACUCAAGACAACACCUGGGAAUCGCCGACUGGGACUACCAAGUCGCCGAUUCCAGGGGUGCACCGCCGACUCCAGACAGGGCACUCGGGUCUGGUAGACCGAGGACCUGACCACAAGGGAGUCGGCGACUCCACCUCUGAAUCGACGACUCCCGUACCUGAGUCGCCGAUUCCCAGCCGUUACUUGAGAGGGCUCACAUCAUUAUAGCACCCUUAAUUGGGUACCAUAAUGGAGUGGGUCCCACGCUAAUGAAUGGGGAAACGCCCUCAGGACCCUAUAAAAGGGGUCCUUGGGGGUCCUCCACUCCCAGGUCAUUCCCACUUGACAGACCCCAACCAGAGCAAACCAAGGAGCCCGAGUCGCCGACUCCCCUCCACUUCUGCAGGUACAUUGACGUAGAGCGCGCGUCGUGGACUCCAAAACCUCCGACCCUCCUCGCAACCCCGCGAGUCUACUGGUAGCAGAUUUCGUGCUUCGUCAACUGGCGUCAUCUGUGGGACUAUCGAACUACGAUAUCCCGUCGUAAUCGCGAAAUUUUUUUCGCAGAGUUCGGCUCGAUUCCCUUCCGGUGAAUCACUGACUUUGUGUCAAGGAAUCGUCGAUUCAUACAGGCAACCGCCGACUCCACCUAGUGAGUCGCUGAUUGCGGGUUAUUCUGCUAGCUAAGAGUGUUGUCCAUGGCUUGGUUCAAAAAAGGCCAUAAGUUGAAUCGCCGAUUCCACAUAGGGAGUCGCUGAUUGCUUUAGCUUUUUGAGCAAGUGCUGUCAAUGCCUUUUGCUCUGGUACUUUCACUUUCAUAUAGGUUGGAUUAAUUUUUCAUAGAAAAUCGCCUAUCCUUAUCUGAAUCGUCGAUUCCCAACUGAAUCGAUGAUUCCCACACUGAAUCGACGAUUCCCAACUGAAUCGCCGACUCCCACGCUGAGUAGGCGAUUCCCACACUUAAAUUGUCGAUUCGGUCAUCGUCUUCAUUCAUCGCUUUGGCUGAAUAAGACCACUCAUUUAUCGUCUUCAUUCAUCGCUUUGGCUGAAUAAGACCACUCAUAGCCCAGCUCUUUGACCGACGAAAAUCUAUCGCUUUGGCGGGAUUCGCCUCGUCGUUUCAGUAUCUUGACGUAAUCAACCCCCUAUGCACCACUGUCGGCACAUGAGGUGCCCUUAUCACUCCCACCAAAUGGAGGAGUGAACCUAACUCCUGCGUUAGAAGAGAGGUUGAUUAACUUUAUGGAUUCCAUAGAAAAAAGAGUUAGCAACCUCGAGAAAGCGAGGUGAUGAAGCACGGAAUCUGUUACCAGUGGGCUCGCGGGGUGGCGAGAUGAGCCGGAGGCUGUGGAGUCCACGACGCGCGCUCUACGUCAAACAUCUGCAGAAGAGGAGGGGAAUCGGCGACUCACGUGGGAGUAAGCGAUUCGGGCUCCUUGGAUGCUCUAGUGUGGAGUGUGUCAAGAGAAGAUGAGUUGAGGGUAGAGGUCCCCCAAGGACCCCUUUUAUAGGGUCUUGGGGAACGUUUUCCCCAUUCAUUUGUGUGGGGCCCACGCCAUUAAGGUACCCUAUUAAGGAAUGCCUUAAUGGCGAGGGUCCGCUCAAGUAACGGCUGGGAGUCGGCGAUUCAGGUAUGGGAAUCGCCGAUCCAGAGGUUCAAUCGCCGACUCCCCAUGAGCCUAGUGGCAGCCUACCAGAGCUGUCCACGAGGCCUAGAGUUAGCGAUUCCCCCCUGGAGUCGGCGACUUGGUAGUCCCAAUCGGCGACUCCCAAGUGUUAGCUUGAGCUCUUGACGUAGACACGUGCUCCGCACCGUGGAAGCCUUUCCGGGGGUCCGGCAUAUAGUGACGGAACCCUAUUCCUUGUUUGAAGGGCGUUGCUGAGAGUGACUGACGUAAUCAGGCAUGUCUCACCAGUACUCCCCCCUGAAGAGAGUAUGGCUGAACACCCGUGUACCGCCACGAGGAGCAACAAAACCAUCAUCCGCGAAGGAGCGGGUGAAUCUGGGUCUUACUAUUCUCCAUCUGCGGAGAAAAAGAAGAAAUCUCCAAUGCCUCCUAUAGCAAAGGCUGGACCUAGCAAGAGUCGCACUGACAAGACUCUUACAACACGGUUCGUGGAAGAUCUCCGUCGGAGGCUGGCCGACAAUCCGGUCGCCAGCAGUCCGAUCGAGUUUUUGAGAAUCAAAAGCGCUCCUUUUCACAAGGACCUUUUGAAAGAAUCUUUUCCACCAACCUGGCGGGUACCCAAGAUAGAAGCGUAUGACGGUUCGAGUGAUCCAAAAGAUCACAUCAACCACUACUUUAGUGUCUUGGAACCGCAGACCACCGAUAACGGACUGUUGUGUCGGGCAUUCCCCGACAUUCUCAAAGGCAACGCUUAUUGGUGGUUCUCUGGUCUGCCAGCUGGCUCGGUCUCCAGCUUCGCGGACCUCUCUUCGAAGUUCAUCGCCCAACAUGUGGGGAUGAUCAGAAUAAAACAAAGUGCCAACGCACUGCUGGCAUUACGACAGAAUAAACUGUCUCUGAGGGAUUACACGAUUAAGUUCACUUCGAUGAUGACAGAAGUGAACGACCUAAUCCCGAGUCUGGCCAUAGCGGGGUACAUGAAUGGGCUUGGGCUGGUACCCUACUUCCCUUUGGCCCAGAAUCUUACACUCCAUAAACCCUGCCCGACCUCUUCCAACGAGCUCAAUCGUUCAUUGAGAUAGAAGAGGAAAACAAUAAAAAGCUGGACGGAUUCGAGCCGCCCAUGCCAGCCGGAAAAAAUGUCGUUAUGCUAAAGAAGAUAAAUACGAGGAUACAAGUUUCCAGUCUGAAACCUCGACUAGUCCUCCUCGAUACAGAGAGGAGUUUCUCAUCAGCAGUUAUGACCACCAAAGUCAUAACUCAUACUCUCAGUCUGGUAACAGUUAUGGUCACGAAAGUCAUAGCUCACACUCUUGGCCCAGUAAUAGUUAUGGUCAACAAAGCCAUAGCUCACGCUCUCAAUCCUAUGACAGUGAUGGCAACCAAAGUCACAGUUCACACUCGCAAUCAAGUGCAUCACGCUAGUAGUGAGGAACUAUCAUCUGUUAGAAGAUAGGAUUGGCCAGAGUAACCAUGCAGGCUAUAUAUGCUUCUAUCACUGGCAACCAGCGACCAAAACAUGUUGAUUCUUCUGUUUGUCGCUCUCAUGUAUUCUCAAUAGUGAUAUUAUUCUAAAUAAAUCUCUCUUUAAUCAAUAGGGAUAUGUAUUCAAUAUUAUAUUUAGAAUAAUCAUCCAUCGCUUCAGACGGAUCAAUCAUCCAUCGCUUCGGCUGGAUGAUACCCGUUUCUCAGACCUACGACCCACAAGUCUAAGUGAUGGUUACAAAAUCCAAUUUACGUUCAGAGAAGCUAAAUUACGAUCACAAGUCUAGUUUACGAUUUAUGAGUCCAAAGUACGACUUAAGAAUCUAAAUCGGACUCUCAUUUACGAACCUAACCCCAAGAGGUUCUAAGUACCCACAACACAUACGAAGAUCUAUUCUGUCGCUAUGGCCUUAAUAGAUAAAAAAUCAUUUUAUCGCUAUACGAUUCAACCCCAUCUUAUCGUUAUGGCCUCGAUAAGGGUAAAAAGUUACUCUGUCGCUUCGGUCAGAGUUCAACUACACAUUAUGGAAUGAAAUCUAGAGUCUUAGGUUCUCAAAAAAAUUUAAGUCAUAUUCCCGAUAAUUUCUGUAUCUCCAACUUAUUACGUCACUUAGCUUUGCGAGUCUUGAUUAGUUGUGAAGUUUAAUUUAUUUCGCGAGUUUAGCCGUAGACUGAGCUACGAUUCGUACGACCAAGUCUACGUCCAGAGUGGCUAGCAAUAGGGUUAGCAGAGUCUAAUUUACGUCCAGAGUGACUAGAUUACGACUUGUGAAUCUAGUUUCGGGUCUUAGUUACAAUUCAAAAAAUAAAAUAAAUAAACAAUUAAUCAAGAAAGCAAAAUAAUUGAUUAAAUUGAGUUCCAAAAAUAUCAAAAAAAAUUCAUAGAGAGUAUCACAAGCUCUCUCCGACACUUAUGUCGCUUCGGCAAAAAGUCGUCACGUUUCAAGAGGGAGUAUCACAAACUCUCUUCGACACUUCAGUUGUUUCGGCCAGAAGUCGUCACAUUUCAAGAGGGAGUAUCACAAGCUCUCUCCGGCAUCAGGGUUCAAACUUAAGUUGUAAUUGAAAAUUACAAACGUAACCCUCGAGUUUAAAAUAUUUGCAUCCUUCAGAUUUGUCAUUCGCGCUAUCUUUUACAACUCUACGUUAAUCUGGAGGUAUAAAUUAUCCGCAAAUUUAACCGUAGGCUGAGCUACGAUUCGUACGACCAAGUCUCGUCCAGAGUGACUAGCAAUAGGUUUAGCAGAGUCUAAUUUACGUCCAGAGUGGCUAAAUUACGACUUGUGAAUCUAGUUUCGGACCUUAGUUACAAUUUAAAGGAUAAUUUAUAUGAAAGAUUAGCAAAGAAAAAACAAAAGAUAGCCCAUUGACAAUCACAAUUAAAUAUUUCGGAAAACUACUCAUUCCAAAAGUUAUGUGUCACAAUGACACGAUUUUUGAGGGGGAAUAUCACAAACUCUCCCGACACUUCUGUCAUUUCGGACAGAAGUCGUCACAUUUCGAGGGAGAGUAUCACAAACUCUCCCGACACUUCUGUCAUUUCAGACAGAAGUCGUCACAUUUCGAGGGAGCGUAUCACAAACUCUCCCGACACUUCUGUCACUUCGGACAGAAGUCGUCACAUUUCGAGGGGGUAUCAUAAACUCUCCUGAUACUUCUGUUACUUCGGACAGAAGUCGUCACAUUGUGAGGGGGAGUAUCACGAGCUCCCCCGACGCUUCUGUCGCUUCGGACAGAAGUCGUCACAUUUCGAGGGAGAGUAUCACAAACUCUCCCGACACUUCUGUCAUUUCAGACAGAAGUCGUCACAUUUCGAGGGAGCGUAUCACAAACUCUCCCGACACUUCUGUCACUUCGGACAGAAGUCGUCACAUUUCGAGGGGGUAUCAUAAACUCUCCUGAUACUUCUGUUACUUCGGACAGAAGUCGUCACAUUGUGAGGGGGAGUAUCACGAGCUCCCCCGACGCUUCUGUCGCUUCGGACAGAAGUCGUCACAUUUCGAGGGAGAGUAUCACAAACUCUCCCGACACUUCUGUCAUUUCAGACAGAAGUCGUCACAUUUCGAGGGAGCGUAUCACAAACUCUCCCGACACUUCUGUCACUUCGGACAGAAGUCGUCACAUUUCGAGGGAGCGUAUCACAAACUCUCCCGACACUUCUGUCACUUCGGACAGAAGUCGUCACAUUUCGAGGGAGCGUAUCACAAACUCUCCCGACACUUCUGUCACUUCGGACAGAAGUCGUCACAUUUCGAGAGAGAGUAUCACAAACUCUCCCGACACUUCUGUCACUUCGGACAGAAGUCGUCACAUUUCGAGGGGGGUAUCACAAACUCUCUUGAUACUUCUGUUACUUCGGACAGAAGUCGUCACAUUGUGAGGGGGAAUAUAUAUCACGAGCUCUCCCGACGCUUCUAUCGCUUCGGCCAGAAGUCGUCACAUUUCGAGGGGGAGUAUCACGAGCUCUCCCGAUGCUUCUGUCGCUUCGGCCAGAAGUCGUCACAUUUCGAGGGGGAGUAUCACGAGCUCUCCCGACACUUCUGUCGCUUCGGCUAGAAGUCGUCAAAUUUCGGGGGGAGUAUCACAAACUCUCCCGACACUUCUGUCGCUUCGACCAGAAGUCAUCAAAAAUUGAGCACGGUAAGAUCUGUCGCUUCGGCCAGAUUUACCAAGGAUCAAUUUGAGCAAAGGAGAGGCAUCAAGGAAGGUAAAAUCGCACGGUAAGUUCAAUAAGUAAAUAAAAUAUGCGUUUUGGACUGAUCUAGUUGUUUUGCAUGAUGUUUUCUUUUUUGCAGGAAAGGUUCUAAUAGUGAACCAAACUUUGAUAGUGAGUCAAUCUAUUUUGUCGCUUUGGCCUUAAUAGAUCCAGGUCCACUUUGUCGUUUUGGCCUUAAUGGACCAAGAAUUAUGUUGUCGCUUUGGCCUCAAUAAUUCUUCUAUCUCGUCGCUUUGGCCUUGAUAAACUUGGAGAUUAUUUCGUCGCUUUGGCCUUAAUGAUCUCGACCCAUCUUGUCGCUUUGGCCUAUGGGGUAAUCGUCGUUGCGGACGUAAAGUCGCUCUUGAUCAGGGUGGACUAUAAACAUCAGUUCUGAUAGUGAAUCCACGCAUUCUGUCGUUUCGGCCAGAAACAGAUUCUGAUAGUGAAUCCACGCAUUCUGUCGCUUCGGCCAGAAUCCACAGCAAAAGUCGCUCCUGAUCAGAGUAAGACUAUAAAUACGUAGUUCCGUUGGCCUGAAACUAGAUUCUGAUAGUGAAUCAAUCCAUCUUAUAGUGCAUGGAUCACGCGGAGUCAUUGUGUCGCUGUGAACGCAAUGACUCGAUCUCAUCUUGUCGCUUUGGCUUUGAUGCGAAUCACCUUGCUUGGGGGGGAUACUGGCGGUACGGUACACGCAUGUUUCUUGUGCUCUCUUCAGGGGGGGUACUGGUGAGACAUGCCUGAUUACGCCAGUCACUCCCAGCAACGCCCUUCAACAAGGACUAGGGUUCCGUCGCUCUAUGCCGGACCCCAAAGGGAGAGAGUUGACGGAUAUUCAAACCCACCCCAAAGAUUCCCCGAUCUGGUCUAGCAUUCUGAGAGCCAAAGAGGAUAUCAAAUUAUGCUAUUCUGCAGAGCUGGAUCGCUCAGUCAGCGGAAGUAUAAAAUCGAGUCUUAUAAGAGCAAAAUUAUAUCACCGACAACCGUCUCUGAUCCUCUGGCCGUAGGAGUGUGGACAUGCCGUACCUCAAAGAUGGCCUUAUGCUUAUGGAGAUUGAGAUGGGGUAAUCUAAGAACAUUCGAUAAAUUGAGGAUUGGGGGAUAUAGUGCGUGGUAUCAGCAAAGUGUGUCCUUUGUGAUGCAACUGAGGAAACGACAGCCCAUCUAUUCUUCAAUUGCGAUUUUAGGUGGACUCUUUGGAAUAAAUUUACAAGUUUGACAGAUUAUGCUUUAUGGAAAAUUAUGGGUAUCACAGCGAUAAAGCAAGGAGAUAUAAGAGUGAGUGAUAUCAUGGAAGGGAUAUCCAAAUUCAGGAAGUCAGCACCAUGCUGUAGACUACAUUGGAAUGCACUUGCAAUAUUUAUAUGACAUCUUUGGAGGGAAAGAAACCUACGACAUAAGGAGAGACUCUCUCGGCCGGUUAAAGUCGUCGCAAGGGAUUUCAUACGAGAUUUGACUAUCAUUUAUGACUACCGCUUAUUUUAAAAAGCGCACAGGUUAAAUUUGGAAGAUACAACUAAUAGAAGGUGGGAGGAAGCCUCGCUAUUGGUUACUGACCUACAAGCCGAGAAUUAACAAGCUAUACUUAUUUCACACAUCUUAUCGUAUUUUUAGUUGUUUAUUUAAUUGUCUUUUUUUUAUUAUAGUUUGUAAUCUAAAUCGUCCCCAUUUUCUACAUUUACAUUUCAGUUGACUUUAACUUUUGCCAGCCAAGCCAGUAUAAGUAAAUAUAUUCUUGAGUUUAUCUCUGCAUGGAUAUAUAAAGUUUUCUGUAACCUUUUAGACAAACAUCCAAUGAUUAAAACAACGUGAAUCGUGAUAAUCAUAUGUCGUCAUUUCAUGCUUCGGAAGAUGAAGUUUCAGUAGCAUUAUCUCCGGCAAUGAGCGCGGUGGAUUUUGAGCAUAUUCGUUCCACGUCAUACCUUAUUAUAUCAAAGUUGGUGACUGCAUUAACUCCACGGAAUUUGAUUGCAGCAAUGUCGUAUGCUUCUGCAGCUUCCUCCUGUGUACCUUCAUUCAUCAAGAUUGCAAAUUGUUUCAUAUAGAUUUGAUAUAGAUUCGUAGAAAGUGGGCAAAUGUAUUAUGCUCACUGAAUGUUCCAAGGUACAAAUCUCUGUUACCAGCAACUCUACCUAUCCGAGCUUGCCAUCUUCCAUGUUGGUGAUGUCUAUGGACAAUUGAAGAUUUGAAGCAUACAGAAUUACAAAUGAUAAUCCACUAAAGAAAUUUUUGCAUACCUUGUCACUCCUCUAUAUGCAGAAGCUCCUCUAGAAAAUCCGCUACUUCUCCUGUAAAAAUAUAUAGGGAAGAAAUUAAUAAUGUGAAUUAUAAUUGCAUAUCUGAUUAAUAUAUAUAUGAAACCCUGAUCAAAUUUUUACAGUAAGUACCUUCUCAAGUUUGCCACAAAUUCUUGUCUGCUUAAAUUCUUCAUCUCUACAAGUUCUUUCUCAUAAGUUGAGAUCUAUAUUAAUCAAUACAGGAUGCAAAUUAAAGAAUGAAACAUUACAGUAUCACAUCAUUCGAUAAAAAUUAAUCAAGCAUAGCUUGAUUUUGGAAUUUUAAAGAUGCAAUUAAUUAAUUUUCAUACUGGAAAAUUAACAAAACUGGUUGGACCCCAAUAUUUGAGAGCAGCUAAAUCAUAUGACCUUGCAGCUUUUUCUUCCUUAUCAUAUCCUCCUGAUCGAAAUUUGCAGAUUCAAAUUCAUAAUAACUAUAAAAAUCCAAGUACAAACUUAGAUGUUAAAAUUAAUUAAAGAUCGAACUGAACCAACCUAGGUAGACUGCUUGGAUUUCCAUUAGAAUUGUAUCAUCCAAUUAAUCAAACAUUCGUGCAUGGAAAUUAAACAAUUUUUUGAACAAUUAUGUUAAAUAAAGUUACUAUAUAUCCAUAUCAUAUAUAAUAAUCAUUGAAUUAAUUGAAUGAUAAUUACCUUGCCUUCCUUUCCUUGUUUGGCCUUCUUUUCUACAACUGUUAUCCCACAGAUGUGCUUCAUAUCUACCAGUCCAUCUAUGCCUGGAAAAAAAAGAAACUAGUGAUCCAUCCUGCCAGCCAGCUCUUCUAUAUAUAUCAUGAUAUAAUUCAUGCAUGUACUGAUGUACAUACCUAGUAACUCCCCUAUAUUGUGAUGUUCUCUGGCCAAAAUUGUCGUUUGAUUUAAAUGAAACCAUUUUCUUUGACCGUUUAGGAUCGUCAUCAGACGUCUGCAUAGAACUUGAUGGAUCCAUGGACUGUGUUAGUGGACUGAAAUUAGUAAUAGUAUGGUUCUCUGACCAAUUAAAAUUCAGAACUACAGAACUAGGGUUUUGCUGAAGUGGUGAAACGACUUCAUUAUUAUAAACAUCGUUAUGGAAAUCAUUCUCUUGCAGAUCAGAUUGUAUGCGUUCAUAGUCUUCCACCAGAGGGAAGGUGAUCAGAUUAUUGUUUCUGUUAUAGAUCUCUUGAUCUGAAGAAACAGGUAUAAAGUAGUUGUAUUGUUGCUCCAUGGAAUUAUGAUUAUUUUCUGCUUUGUACAAACUCAGGAAGUUUUGAUCCCUUCUACCUUCAACACUGCCUGUACUGGCUGUACUUGAGAUAAUAUUGUUGGAAACGUCAAUUGUGUUCCUGUGCAUCCAAUCUGUGCAUGUGCAAGUAAUAUAUAUACACACAAAGAUCUAACUUAAAAAGUUGAGAGCAAAUUUAAAUUUAAUCAUACCUUCAGUGCCAGAUCCAUAGUUUGCCAUGAAAAGGGAACUUUCUGGCAAUCGGAGAAGAGAAGGAAAAACCACGGGAACAUCACCACUUUUUCUUCUACAAUCUUCUUCUUUCUCAGAUCCAUCAACGCAUGAUGCUUUCUCUCGGAUACUGUGUAAUAUUGGGUCGUGGUGAUGUUGGGUGGAAGAAAGGGAGAAACCAACGACGGGACACCCGCCCUUAUCCAUUGCUCAACUCUUCACACAUGGAAAUAACUACAUACAAAAAGGCAUGCACCAUACCAAUUAACAGUCAAUUCAAUAAAUCCCAAGAUAAUAUUUUAAAUAUGUACAUCUUUCGAGAUGACGAAGAAGAAAAGGAAACAAAAAAAGAAAAUGGGGGGGGGGGGUCAAUAUUUUAGUUUUGGGAUUUUUUGUCAAAAGUUCUUUGGCAUCUUUUUGAUCAUUUAAUAUCAUAUAUCUGCACUUCUAUAAAUCAUUUAUGUAAAUUGGUCAUUAAUAGAUCUGGAGGAGGGAUAAGAUGAACAGUCUGAAAAUAAAUCUUUGAAAAUGAAAAGAAGAGUUUUACAUUUUUAUGAUUGGGCAUCCUGCCAAAUCAUAAAUCAAAACAAAAUGGAUCUUCAUGGCUAUUGUGAUUCAGAUUGGGCAUCCUGCCAAAUCAGCAGAAAAUCACUAACAGGAUACUGUAUGUUCUUAGGAACAUCAGUAAUUUUAUGGAAAUCCAAGAAACAGGACACUGUCUCUCUAUCAUCAUGUGAAGCUGAGUAUAGAGCCAUAAGUAAAGCACAAUAUUUACUACCGACACAAGGGCUUCUAUCGUAUGGGUUUGUUUGAGGAGCGACCUAUGAGUUUGUUUGAGAAACGCCGUACGUGUUUGUAUGAAGAGCAUCCUAUGAGUUUUCAAAAAUUAUAAAAAAUAUUCAUUACUCAACCACUUACGUACAUGAUUUAAAGUUUGACAACCACACUGACAUAAAUUAAUACAUUUUUUCUAAAAUUCCCUGAUAUAUAUGCUUUUACACAUAAGUAAUACAUGUCGUACAUAAUUAUGGACUGAUGCAUAAUAUUAGUAUGUCAGUUAAUUAAUUUCAACGGUCGGAAUACAUCCAAAAAGAUCCAACGACGCAUACUAAAUGAUGUAUACAACGCUUUGAAAUGCGACACACCAGAUGUGUGCCUCUAUAUUUAUAUACUUAUUUGAAUUCGUGUAGGAUUAUCGCUUAAACGAAUUCAAUUUCGAAUUCGAAUACAAAUUUCGAAUAUCUAUAUAUUGACAAACCUAUAAUAUUCAUUAUCCAUUUACUAAACGAUUGUAAAUAGUAAUUUGGAAUAUUCAACAUCAGGCUAAGGAGGGUGACUGUCUAUUCUAAAGGACCGACCCAUCAGGACAUCUAUAUGUUUACAACUGUCCCCAAUAUCUUCAAGUAGUUGUCGACAAUCUAGCUAAGGUGGUAGGGAUUGAAGAGACAUUGCUCAUUGUAAGCAAUAAUGGGUUUUUUCUUCUUCCAGAAAUGGAUGUUAUCGUCAAGAGAAUCAGAUUAUUCUACCAAGUUAAACAAAUCUAUGCUCCCUUCUCUCCACAUUUAAUUAUUUCCCAACAGCUUUCUUGGUGUUUCUCUUGGUGAUCGUGAAGGCAAAGACGAAGGAGUUGUAACCUGGUGAUUAGGGGAAUUUUCAGGUGUGUCAUUUGUUGGUGUACCGAAAAUGCGUCAUUUGUUGUACGCCGUUGGAUUUAAUGUUGACAAAAAAUGAUGGUUUGGAUUUAAUUAUACGUCCACAAUUAUAUCAUGUACAAUGCGGGGUGGAAUCUCGAGAUUUUACAACAGCUGUACAAUAUUGAAUAGAAAAUAUUAUAUUUACAUGUUGUGCAAACUAACUACAUUAUCCUACUUACACCUAUAUUAUAUUCUUCAUAAUCUUUUAUACCUAGCUUAAUUAAUGUUCUUGACUACUCUUUAUUAACACAUUACUGUUCCUGAUUGAUGUACACGGUUACAUUAAUGAAAAACCAGCUAUACACCUUACCAUAAUAUAACAUAAUCAUCACUUCCCUUUUCUUCCCAUAACCAUCCCUUCCCACUACAAAAAAAAGUAGACAGUAGGACGAGCAAAGUUAACGGAAUUUCCGUUACAAAUACCUAAAUCCGUUACAAAUACUCUCAAGUUAAAGUUAACGGAACGGAAAAUCCGUUACAAAAAUUUAAAGUAUUUGUAAAGGAAAUUCCGUUACAAAUGAUAUUUUUCAAUCCACCGGAAUUAUUAGAAUCAUCACCGGCCAAUUUCCAAAAGAGAAUCAACGACUUGGGGGCUGAUCUGAGUAGGCUCAAUAUAGGGAAUACCCUCCUAACCCUGGGAACCGGGGCCUGGCCGGAAGAGCGGAUCGAGAUCCAUUCUAUGACUCAGGCUUAAAGUCUACUACGUACCCUACCGGCUCGGUAGUGAAAAUAUCAUUUGUAAUGGAAUUUCCGUUAAUUUUUUUUUUUUGUAAAAAAAAUUCCAGUCAAUACAUUUUUCCUAUAAAUUGAAUGCAAAAUCCUGUAAAAUCAUUGCAAAUUCCUGUAAAUUCAUUCAAUUAAUAUUAAUUCCUGUAAAUUUAUUCAAUAUUCAACAAAUAUUCAAUACAAAAACAAUAUUCAACAAAUACAACAUUCAACAAAACUAACAUUCAACAAAACUAGCAUUCAACAAAAAUAACAUGGAAGACCUAUUUGGAUGGAGGAGUUUGAUAUCUUUGAUCGCUCUGACCUGCAUUAAUACUUUUAUCUUGCAACGAUCCACGAUCUGAAGGUUGUGAAAUUGUAUUUGAUUGGGAUAAAACUGUUUUCUUCAGGUCUUCAAACAUUUCAUCAUAUUUCCUUUUUAAAAUUCGAUUAUCCUGUAAAACAUUUAAGACUCAUUGAUAUUUAUGUAUUACUUUAAAAUUUUGACUAUCAUACACAUACCUCUAUUAACUUCUCCAUUUGAUCGUUCAUUUUUUUCUUUUUUUUUCUCAAUAAAUCUUGCAUUCAUUUCAAUUGAAAAUCUGGUAGAAGCAGUUCAAAAAAAUUCUUUUCUUAAUGCUUUCUUUGGAAGUUCGUUCAACUGAAAUUUGAUUAUACUUCAACAAAUCAAUUCUUGAAUAUAAUUUGAAAGUAAAACUAAUUAUAUUUUUGAAAGUAUAUAAUUUUACCUCUUUUAGUAUAUCCUCACCGGAUCUAAUUGGAGGUGCUGUAUCCAAUUCAAUUUUAUUAUUGAACUUUGAUUUUUCUUUUCUAUAUAGAUGUGAAGGAUCCAGAAAACGACGAUGUCCCAUAAAACAUGUCUUUUGACUCCCUUUCAAAUACAAACUACAUGUAUUGUUCAAACAUACACCACAUGCCACUUUUCCUUUUGUACUCCAUCCAGAUAAGUUUCCAUAUGCUGGAUAUAGUCAUUGAUUGUCCAUAGCAGAGCCGCUCGCAUUAUAAAAGUUUCUUUUUUCACUGAGUCAUAAGUUUGAACACCAUCAUUCCAUAAUAACUUUAACUCGUCUAUUAGUGGUUAUAAAUAUACAUCAAUAUCAUUGUCUGGUUGUUCUGGACCUGGAAUCACUAAUGAUAGAAUCAUAUUUGAUUGUUUCAUGCACAACCAUGGUGGCAUGUUGUAUGGGAUAAGAACAACUGGACAUGUGCUAUGUGAUAAUGUCAUUGAACCAUAGAGAUUAAAUCCAUCUGAUGCCAACCCUAGUCUAAUAUUUCGAGGUUGUAUAGCAAAUUCUGAAUUGACACCAUUUAACACUUUUCAUUGUUCCGUAUAUGCUGGAUGACGAAGUACGUCAUCUCUCAAACGAUGAUCUUCAUGCCAUGUCAUAUCAGUACACACCUAGUUCGAAUAAAUUAAAAUAUUUUAGAAUGUGAUUGAUUGACAAGUAUUUGACACAUAAGAAAUCAACAACAUGUAUAUACCUUACUACACAUAUACAAUCUCUUAAGUCUUGGAACCAAGGGGAAGUGUCUCAAAACUUUAAUAGGAAUACGUUUCCCAUUCGCUUUUCUUUCGACCUUCCAUCUUGGCUUAUUGCAUCGUAUACAAGUUUCUGAAUUUUCAAAUUCUUUUCGAUAAAGAAUGCAAUUAUUUGGACAUGCAUCGAUCUUCACGUAGUUCAAUCCAAGAUCUCUAAGGUAUGAUUUUGCUCCAUGCAUUAUUUUAUGAAUUGAAGUAUCACCCGAAAGAAUAACAUCUCGUAAGAAUUCCAACAACAUCUCAAAGAAUUUGUUAGAAACCCCAUUCAAGCAUUUUAGAUGGUAUAAGUGGAGAAUAGCAGAUAAUUUAGUGUAUUUCGUACAACCAGGAUAUAAUUGUUCAUUAGCAUCUCUUAACCGGCGGUUGAAUUUUGGAUCAUCAAUCGGAGUAUUUAUCGGAUCAUUGAUCGGAGUAUCUAUCGGAUCAUUGAUCGGAGUAUCUAUCGGAUCAUUGAUCGGAGUAUCUAGGAUCAUCAAUCGGAGUAUUUAUCGGAUCAUUGAUCGGAGUAUCUAUCGGAUCAUUGAUCGGAGUAUCUAUCGGAUCAUUGAUCGGAGUAUCUAUCGGAUCAUUGAUCGGAGUAUCUAUCGGAUCAAUGAUCGGAGUAGCUAUCGGAUCAUUGAUCGGAGAACCUAUCGGAUCAAUGAUCGGAGUAACUAUCGGAUCAUUGAUCAGAGUGUUUGCGAGAUCAUUGAUAGAAGCCAUUAUUGGAUCAUUGAUCGGACCAUCGAUCGGAGUAUUUGUGGGAUCAUUGUUCAAAUUAUCCGGAUGAUUGAUUGGAGAAAUAAUUCGAUCGUCUAUCACAAUAUAUAUUAGUCAUUGCUUCAUCAAUCAGAUUAGCAAGUGGAUAAAUAGUUGGAUCAACCAUUGCUUCAUUUGCUAAAAGGAUCGUCUCAUUUUCUACUAUCAUAGGAGGUGCAGUAGAAACUGUUAUUUCACGUCUCUUGCGUUUCAAUGCUUUUUUAUGUGCUCUCGAACCUGGAAUUAAUUCUCCAUGCAUAUACCAUGUCUUAUAUCUAUAUGCACUGUCAAAACUAAAGAGUAUGACAUGCUCACUAAUGGUCUUACGAUUAUAAUAUUUGCCAUUGUGACACUUUGAACAAGGACAUGGUAGUUUUAAUCCAGGUUCCAUCUUGUGGUUUGAAUAGAUUUCAGCAAAAUCUAAAAAACUUUUCAAUCCACUUUGAAAUUUCAUUAAGGUUGAACUUUCAAACAACCAUGAUUUGUCAAACCCUUCUAUUUGAUCAACCAUUUUAGACUAUUUCCUAACAUACUGUUGGUGUGUGGGCUCGCCGGAAUAAGCUCACCGUCCAACCUAGUACAAGUGUCUCUCUAAGAAUUAUCAACCCCCUCCCCUGUUGGACCAGGGGAGGUAUUUAUAGCUUUCUGUUGUUGACCUUGGGCCCGUCGUGGACUUGUGUGUUGGGCUCGUCCCCUCGCCUGGGCCGCCGACGGGUCCUGUUCGGUCCAUGGGCCGCAGUCCGCGGUCCAUGGUACCAACAGAUACGAAAAAGAUACCUCUUAAAAAUCGAUAUUUGAAUAGAAAAAGGUCCAAACAUUUCAAGAUACCUCUUAAACCAACAUUUCUAAUUCUAAAGGUAAAAGGGCCUAAAUAUAAUAUAACAGGUUAUUCUGAAUAAUUUAACUCAAUGAUACUACAAUUAAUAUAAUUUAAAUCCUCUAAGAAAAACUCAUCCAUAAAAAUAAAAUAUCCUAUUACGAGUAAUAAAAAAAAUUAUGAAUUAAAACUAUGAAACUACUUGUGAACAUCAACAUAUUAAACUAUGAAACAAAAUCAGAAAUAUUAAAAAAACAGACAUGAAUUAAACUGACCAAAAUCCAGAAAUCUAAUCAUAACAUUUAAAAUAAAUUUUACAAAUUAUUUCAUUCAAAUUAUAAAUAGCAAUUUUAUCUUGUUCUUGGAGAGCAGUGUCUUGAUUUUCUUCAGUAAUCAAGAAUCAAUUAAUUUUUUUCAGUAAUAAAAAUGAAGAGCAUUGUCCUGAUUACAAAGAUCAAGAAAGAAAAAUAAAAAUAAGAAAUGAAAAAUGAAAAAUGAGGAAGAUACUUAGAUAAAUCAACUCUAAACCAAAACUAAACUAAACCAAAGCAUACUAAUCAACUCUAAAUCAAUUGAAAAAGAAAUUUAAAAGCUUAAAAAAAAAACUAAACCAAAACAGUCCGGUCGAAAAAUAAAUCAUCAUCGCCAACUUCCUCUAAAAGAGCUAAUUUAAUUAAUGAUGGAGAGUGGAAGAUGGCGAGUGGGAAAAAACAGACAUGCAUACUGAUAGACCAAGACGAGUACAUCAACACUAAUUUAAAAUCAUAUCCCGAUAAUCAUCAUCCAUCUCUAUUAACAAAGGAUCAAAUUUUUGACCAUAGUGUUCAUACUCAUCUAGAACCCCUGAACCUUGGAUAAUGAUCAAGAAAAUGAAUGUUGUAAAUAAUUCAAACAAAUAUGCAGAAUGCCCUAGUUUUGAGAAUUGGGUAGUGAGUGGUGUGGAUAAUGCUACUACUAACACCCUAACUCAUAUUUAGAUGAGGAUUUUAAAAAUAAAAUGACAAAACAAGCAUUGACUUUAGUGGUCUCUAAUUAUAACGACAACUGUUCUUAAGAAAGAUCUAACUUCAAUGAAUUAACCUGGUAAAUAUUAUUCAAACAAACAGCAAUGUGAACCUGAUUUGUCCUCCCUCUGAACACUAGCAUAUGCCCAAUUAACUUUGAUAGGUUGGCCAAACCUGCAAAUUAACAAGAUUAAAUGGUACACUUCAAAACUCCAAAUAACAUAGUGAAUAUUGUUUAUAAAAAGCCAUUUGAAGCAGAAUAGUAAUUAAUUGCUUAUAGAGUUACAUAUAUAUGCAUUUAAGAAGCAUGAUACUCACCAUUAAAGAGUUUUUAAGACUUUACUUGAUUUUUAAAGGUGUUAAAAUCUUUAAAUUUGUCCCUAAAGAUGUUAAAGGCAGGCUAGUAUGUUUUUUGUUGAAUGUAGUAAUCGCCAAGGGACAGAGAACAGAUGUGGUCUUUAAUUAUUGUUUAUAAUCGCCAAGGUACUAGGAUUAAAUCAUCCAUUACAGUAUUAAACCAUCUUAAACCAGCUACAAGUAUCAAAAUCAUUAAAAAACAAAAAAAAGAUACAAGUUUGCAAUACGGUAAAAGAAAAGAAAAUCACACAAAAAAAAAACACGCACACCAAAGAAAAUCAGAUGAAACUCUCGGACGACAAAAAGACUAAACUAGCUAGCACUUACCUGAACUUGCCGCAUUGGACUGGAGUGUCACGACGAACGAGAUUGGGGGGAGUUGAUCGAGAACGCCGGUGGUUGAGAAGGAGAUUGGGAGAAAGAAAUUGGAGGAAAUGAGAUUGGGGGAAAUGAAAAAAAAUGAGGGAAAUAUUAGGGAAAAUGAAAUAGGGGGAAUGAAAUAGUUAAAGGGGGAAAUGAAAAUUAUUAAAUAAUUGCUAUUUUUAACGGAAUUUCCAUUAAAAAUAGUUAAAAAUCCAUUACAAUAUAUAAGUCCAUUGGUAUUUGUAACGAAAACAACAAAGCUAACGAAAAUUUCGUUACAAAUUUCGUUAACUUUGAUAAUAAGUAUUUGUAACGAAAAUUUCGUUAACUCUGCUUCGUCCGAACUGCCUACUUUUUUUUGUAGUGUCCUCAUUAUGAAAUCUACUGGAAAUGUAUCUCGAAUGUAUUGAUGAUUAUGAUUACAUUGAUUGUAUUUAUAGAUUAACUAAUAUUAUAUUGUUAUUCAUAGUUUGUUACAAUUCAAUUAUUCACUAGUGUGUCCAAUAUACCCCCUUCCUCAAAGUUGUGGAAGUUCUCCAACGAGUUUCUUCUGAAACUUGUGAAACAGUUGUGCUGGCAAUGGUUUCGUUAGACCGUCAACCCAUUGUUCUUUUCCCGGGAUAUGUUCCACUGAAAUUUCUCCGUUUUAUGAUCCCUCCCUCACGAACUGUAAAUCUAUCACGACGUGUUUUAAUUUUACAGCGUUCGAUUGGAUUUUUGGAGAUGAAUGUUGCCCCCAUAUUGUCUGAGAGUAUCUGUAUUGGUUUUGGUGCGCUAAUGCCCAACUCGCGUAACAUUAACCGGAUUGCUUCGACUUCUUGUGUAGUUACGGCAACGACUCGAUAUUCUGCCUCCGUGAUCAACCUCGCUGAUGUACUCUGUUUCCUUGACAUCCAGGCCACCGGCGUUCCUUCAAUGAAUACUAGAAAUCCCGUUCGGCUUUUUCUGUCGACUGUGUCUCCCCCCCAAUCGGAAUUGCAGUAUGCGAUUAUAUUGAAGUCAUAUGAUUUGUGGAUUGAGAUUCCAUAUUUUUGGGUCCCCGCGAGAUAUCGUAAUACUCGUUUUACCGACCUCCCAGUGUUUCGGUUUCGGAUAAUCCAUCACCUGUGACAAGAUAUUUACCACAACUUGGACAUCUGGUCUGGUCAUAGUUAUGUAUUGUAGAGACCCCACAAUACGCCAAUAUUCCUUAGCGUUAUCAAUUGGUUUUUCAUCUGAGAAGAUAUCGAACCUUGCAGUCAUCGGUGUUUCAGUUAGUUUUGUGUUUUCCAUUUCACAACUUUUUAACAUAUUGGCCAAAUACUGAGGCUUUGAUAAGUGAAUUCCUCCUGUGAAGUAUGAGACUUGAAUGCCUAGGAAAAACUUGAGCUCCCCCAAUACUCGUAGUGGAAAUUCUUUGUUCAGAUUUGUGAUUAUUUCUUGUAUUUUUUCUUCAAUUGAUUCGACGACGACGAUGUCAUCGACGUAUACGAACAAAAAUGCCGUGAACUCAUUAUGUUUUAGAACAAAUAGAGACGGGUCUAACGGUGACUCUUUGAACCCCAAUUUUACGAGAAAUUUCCUCAAUGUCUGAAACCAACACUUCGGUGACUGUUUUAAUCCAUACAUUGAUCUAUGGAGAAGGCACAUAUGAUCUGGAUUCUUCGAGUCCACAAAUCCGAAUGGCUGAGCUACUACAAUUCUUUCUUUCAGUUCCCCAUGGAGGAAUGCGUUCGAGAUGUCUAGUUGGUGCAUCUUCCAACCUCUCGAAACUGCUACUAGUAAAACCAAUCGAAUUGACAGUGGGCGGAUGACUGGGCUGAUGGUCUUCAUGUAGUCUGUACCAAGUUUCUGCCUCAUCCCAUUUGCAACUAACUUAGCCUUGAAGCGUUCAACCGAUCCAUCUUCAUUCGUUUUUAUUUUGUACACCCAUUUUGUAUUGAUUAUACUAUCCCCUGUUUCUUUUGGCACCAAUGUCCAGAUUCUGUUACGUUUCAAUGCUUCAAACUCCGUUGUCAUAGCGUCCUUCCAUUUGGGAAUUGUAAGGGCGUAUUUCGCGGAUCUUGGGACCGGAAUUUCCGUUGCAGUGAUCGCAAGUGCAUACUUCGGAUUUGGUUUAUGUAUGCCAAUCGAAGCUCUUGUUAUAAUUCUCGACGUUCGUUGCGGUAUCUCCUCGGAAUCGGAAUCUGAUUGUAACUCCUCUGUGUCAUCGUUGAAGAUGUCAGAAAUGCUUCCUAAAACCGUCGCUUAUUCAUUGCCUUGUAUGUGCCGUUCUUCUUCCGGUGUGAGGGGUGAGCUUUACUGGUGCCUCCAAGUUUGUCGGAUCUCCAAUAUUGUUAUUUAGGUCGAGCGUUCCCAAAUUUGUGAUUUGUAGCGGAUCUUCUUCGCUGGUCCGAUUCUCAAUUUCCAAGUGUGUUUCUGGGUCCCCAAAAUAUUGUUAUUUGGGUUGCAUAUCGGAUCCUCUUGACUGCACUGAUCUUCAAUUCCUAAGUGUGUUUCCUGGUGGGCCAGAAUAUUAUUAUUUGGUUUAAUUACUCCCAAAGUUGUGGAUCGUAACUGAACUUGCUUACUGGACCGAUCCCCAAUUUGAUGUGAAUUAUCAUUUUGGUCCCCGAAAUAUUGUUUAUUUGCUUUGAAAUCCUCCUCGUUGAAGAUUACAUUUCUAGAAGCAUAUAUUCUCCGGCUUUUCAGCUCUAGGCAUAGGUAGCAGUUUUGCGACAUCGAAUAACCAAUAAAGACGCAACUUGAUGAUUUUGCAUUUAAUUUGUUGUCGCAAUAAGGACGGAGGCAAGGGUAACAGGCGCAACCGAAGACUUUGAAUUGUUUAUACUCUGGUAGUUUCUUGAACAUAACUUCCAUCAGGGAUUUAUUGUUCAAUAACGAAGUAGGAUUCCUGUUAUAGAGAUAGUUUAUCGUAAGUACACCGAAGUCCCAGAACUGAUUUGGUAACCCAGAAUGUCGUAAUAAUAUCACUGUAGUAUCAAUCAGAUGACGAUGCCGACGUUCUACCAUGCCCAUUUGUUGGUGGGAAUAAGGCGCAACUAAUCUGUGUGCGAUCCCUAAUUCAGCCAAUCGUUUACCCAGCUUUAUAUAUUCCUUUGCAUUAUCUGACUGAAGAGCUUGAAUUUGUUUUCCGCUCUGUCUUUCGGCCCAACAUCUGAAUUUCUCGAAUAUUUUGUAAAUAUCCGAUUUUUUCACCAUUGGAAAGACCCGGUUGAAACAACUACUGGUAUCUAUGAAUUUUAUGUAGUAAUUCUAACCUUCAAAUGAUGUUACGGGGGCUGGUCCCCAUAUAUCAGAAAAAAUUAAUUCCAUUGGCUGGUACGUUGUAUUUCGGGAGGGAUGUGGAAGAGUUUGUGAUUUUCCCGGUUGACAGGAUUUACAGAAAAUCAUAGGUUUUGUAUUUGACUUUAUUAAACCAUUUUUCUCAAGUGUUGACAUGUAUUUAGAAUUUAGGUGGCCGAGUCGGCAAUGUCAAAGAAAGUGUUCUACAUUUUCACACAAGUUUAUUGAUCCUCUGUUCACUUUUGUCUUCAUUGGGAGUUCGUAUAACUCUCCGCGAACUCCUCCUUCUAGUAUGAGUUAUUUAGUAGCCAAGUCGUGAAUCCUGACUUUCUGUGAAUCAAACGAAACAGAAACGUUGUUAUCGUUACAUAACCGAUUAACAGAUAACAGAUUUCUAGUGGCAGUGGGAACCAACAAUAAAUCUCUAACACAAGAUGACCCAGUAAAUUUUGUAACACUCUCCUCGGAUUUUGUAAUUUUCAGGGGUGUUCCGUCAGCCGUGAAAAGUUUAUCUUUACCUGUGAGAGUAUAUUUUCACCUGAGUUUGUGAUGUAAGAUGUGGCCCCUGAAUCAGGGUACCACAUUGUCAUCAUGUCCGCUAGAGGAUUGUAACCAACCGUGUUAAUCGAGCCACGCUUUCCUCCAUUAGGGUCAGUUGGAGACAAGGUCCGGUUAUGAUUGGGUGGGAAACGGGAUAGAUUGAUGCGGUUGUAACAGUCGACGGCUCCAUGCCCCUUCUUCAGGCAGAUCUGGCACCAGAGAUUGAACCUCUGUCCUGAGCUUGAUUUCCCAUCGUUCUUUGGUGCUGAAUCAGUUUAUGCCACAACAUUUAUUUCGCUGGAAUCGAUUUUAGAUGCCGCGAUUCUUGACCCAAUCCGGAGCUCCUAGUCUAUCGAAAGUUCGCCGAACUCAGAAAAUGUUAGGUUAGGGUCCCAUCGUGUGGUGACGAAGGUCACGAACGCCUCAUAAUCAUCGUUCAAUCCUUGCAAUGUGUUCAGGAUUACUUCCGACUCUUUCAAUUUCUCGUUGGUUGCCGCAAGUGUGUCCUUUAGGACAGAGAUUUUCGCGAUGUACUCCUCCAUUUGCAUUCCCCCUUUUCUGAUCAACUGUAGUUGCAGACGAAGAUGCAACUGCCUCGUUUGUGUCCCCGAUGUGUACAGUCGCUGCAAGCACGUCCAGACUCCGGCGGAAGUUUUGUAUGACACCACCUGAGGUACUAUUGACGUCGAAAUCCCGGUUAGAAUCCAACUCAAGAUUAACUGAUCUUGUUGGAUCAUUUCUGGCGUGUCGAGGUUGAUUUCCCCUUUCACGUAACCCAUUAACUCGAACCCGCUUAACAUCGCGGUGAAUUGUGUUGGAUCGAGAUCCGAGGCUAUAAGGGGGGAUAAUAGCCUCUUUUCGAUUAAUGCAAGUUAAUAGCGAAAUUACCUGCACACACUUAAGUACACAAAUGGUUGUAUAAUAAUAAUAGUAUAAUAUUGUAAUUAGCAAUAUAAUACUAUUAUAUAAUUUUAAAGAAUAUAAUAUUAUAUCUUAUAAUAUUAUAUAUUGGACUUGCCUUUUGCUCUUUAAGUUUACUACAAUAUAUGAAUACGUAGUCAACUUUUCAGAUGGUGUUUUAUAAACAACUAUAGUGUAUGAAUACUAAGUUAUAUUAUAAACACAAGUUAUAUUAUAGAGUAAAUGACCAGAUAACUGGAUAUAUGAUAAGCAAGUAAAUGACCAGAUAACUGGAUGUAUUGAUAAACAAGUAGAUGACCAGAUAACUGGAUAUAUAUAUGAUAAGUAAAUGCUUGAACAAAUAUGAAUAAAGCAAUGAAUAUAACCUCAGAUGGUUGACCAGAUAACUGGAUGAGGGAUCUGCGUAAAGUAGUCAACCUCUGUAUUUGACCAGAUAACUGGAAGAGGGAUCUUUUUAAUUAAGUGUUGUUUUUAGAUAAAAAAUAAAACUAUAAUUAACAGAGAACAACACAAGAGAUUUAUACUGGUUCACCCAAACAAGGGCUAGUCCAGUCCCGACCAACUGCCGGAAUUCACUCGCCUAAAGGUAAUGGCAAAACCUUUCUAAGCUUUAAGGCUACUUCGCUUAGGAACCAGUCUUUUACGGGUAGACUCACACCUUAGAGUAUUAAGGGCACUCUUAAGAACCUCUAACUUUUACGGGUAAGUUAGUACCUUAGAGUAUCAAGGCACUCUUAACAACCUCUCUAAGCUUUAAGGCUACUUCGCUUAGGAACCAGUCUUUUACGGGUAGACUCACACCUUAGAGUAUUAAGGGCACUCUUAAGAACCUCUAACUUUUACGGGUAAGUUAGUACCUUAGAGUAUCAAGGAACUCUUAAAAACCUCUGAAAUCUUUAAAGGUAGACUCAACCUAAGAGUUUUCCCGGAAACUCUAUAAAACCAAACUAGAGCUUUAUGGUUGAGCUCACAAACCUUCUCUAACACUUUGGUACUAUUGAGACAACCCUCUCAACCAAAGUGGACACACACAAGAGGUGAUUAGAGGAGUGGAAUAUUAAAGCAAACAACACUUCUUACUUGUAAAGAUGAACAAGAAGAUUAGAAGAAGAAGUUGGAGAGCUUUUGAAGCUUUGGAAAGCUAGGACACUUGAACACUUGAAAGCUUGGAAGCUUGGAGGCAAAAACGUGUGGGCAAGUGUGGAGUGAAAGCUCUUGAGUUUGCUUGUA
rnacentral:lncRNA from 1 species